GCCAUGAACCACCCCCCACCCCAAACCCUUCUCUCUCUCUCUCUCUCUCUCUCUCUCUCUCUCUUCCCCUUUACGCUAAAACCUCCUCUCUCUCUCUCUCUCUCUCUCUCUCUCUCUCUCUCUCUAGGGCUCCACCUCUGCCCCAGGAGUGGAGAUCGGCGGCGGAGACGGCGGGACUCGCCCUGGUUGUGAUUGCGCUGUAGGUUUUCAUCGACGCACCUAGCACUAAACCCACUUCAAAACCCUAGCCUUUUCUGUCCAUUUUUGCGAUCUUCUUAAAGCAAAACGAUCCUUUUUACAAGAAAAAUGUUGUUUUCCUGAUCAAAUCUGACCUUAGUAGUCGUUCUCCGUUUGGAUUCUACUUGUUCCUGCCUUUUCCUGUAUCUCCUAUGACUAUUUCAUGGUGUAUUCGUUGAAUUAAAUUGGUUAUAAUCUAAGUUAGGGUUAUAAUUGGUCGAUUUGAUUGAGUGUAUAUUAUUAUAAUGUCGUUCCCUAGUAGCUUAAGCUUUUAUGGUUGCUUUCAUUUGAUAUCUGAGAAGUUUGAAUCUUUUUAGGUUCCUAGUGUGAUUUAAUUUUCUCUGGUUUAAUGUAAGUUAAAAGUGUGAGGCUAAUUUUGAAUGUAAUGGUUGGAUUCAUUUUUAGGUUUAGUUUGGUAAUGCGGUGGAAGGCCCCCAAAAAUCUAAAAGUAUUUUUAUACUAUGAAGUUGUGGUUGCAACUGCCGCCGGAGAUCCUUGGUUGCAUGCUUCUCCGAUGACGGUCUCCAGUGGUGGUUGCCAGCGCAAUUUUAUACCAAAAGGAGAAAAAAUUUGUAGCGCUUUUGGAUAUUUUUUGGACCUUUCAAAAUAUAAAAGCGGUGGCUUUAGUCACCGCAUUACCAAACUAGGUCUUGGAGACAAACGGUUGUUUCACAUGACAUUAGAGUAGGAGGUCUCGACUUUUGAAUAUUUUUUCAAUUUUCUGGUCUCAUUUCAUCUUCUUUUGUUUUGCUGCAAGUUCACAUUGUGGGCCUAACAAAGAAGUGUCAGCAUCAGGGGUGAGAGAUAGUGUUGAAUAUAAAAUAAUGGAAUAUCUUUCUACAGUAACUUGAAAUUUUAGAGGGCUAAACUUCAAGUUGCUCCCCAAUGGUUUGGCUUAUUUUUCACUUUAUCACCAUGUGAUUCAAAAGUUGCUCUCAACUGUUCUGUGGUUUAGCUCAUUUUCACUUUGCCACCUUGUGGUUCAUAAAGUUACACUUAACUACUCUUUAUCAAAAAAAUUUACUUUGCCACCCUAUUUGAUAGUAGAUUUUUGGAAAAACUUUAAUUUACACCCCUGUGGUUCAGCGUAUUUUCAGUUUGGUAUUCUGUGGUUUGAAGUGUUUCACAUAGCUACCUCGUGGUUUUACUUUUAUCUUACCGUUAAGAUCCGUCGUUAAGUAGGGUAUUAAAUUGAUAAAAUAUAUAAACUACAAGGUAGUAAAUUAAUAUAUUUUACAAACCACAGGGUGGCGAAUUGUAGUAUUGUACUAACCUAUAUUUUUAUAUAGCCAACUUGUAGUUUGCAAAAUAUAUUAAUUUCGUACCCUACUUAAAAAUAGUUCUUAAUGGUGAGAUAAGGUAAAACCACAGGGUGCAAGGUAAAACACUUUAAACCAUAGAGUACCAAACUAAAAAUGUGCAAAAUCCCAGGGGGUGCAAAUUGAAGUUUUUUCUAGAUUUUUUGAAUAAAAAUAGAGAUAAAAUCACAGAAUAAUGAAGUGCAACUUUUUGAACCACGGUAUAACAAAGUGAAAUGAGCUAAACUUUUUUUUUUGGGGGGGGGGGGGGGGGUGCAAAUUAAAGUUUACCAAUUUCAGAGAAAAAAAAUUGUUUCUCGAACUCUGAAAUUAGGGUUGUUUUAAUUGAUAUUGUUUUGGAUCCAGCAGUAAAGAAGCUCUUGAGAUCUCUGAUGAUGGCGAGAGGAGUUGUGGGUGAGAAAUGGUCACAGCGGAUUCUGUGGGUAUGCGCGAUCGGGAGCGCAAUAAGUAUGUGGUCUUUCAUAGGAAAAUUAAUUUUCAUUCCUAUUUCAGAUGAUUUUUUUCAGCAAUUCUUGUGUCUUUCUUUGUUAAUAAUUGUUCGUCUUGAUUGUGUAGGCUUGUACUUUGUGGCCGUGGAGAGGCAGGCGCAGAAUCGGGCGCGAAUGAUGGCCGAGGGUUUGAAGAGUGUGGAUGGCUUGUCGAGCCAUUCCGGUGGUGAGGAUGUUUGAAGGUGAAUGCUCAGCAAUUUAGUUAAAAUCUUUGUCUCGUGUCCUAAUCACUAUUACAAUACAAAUUUUUACAAACAGAAUAAGGAUCAAAGGCGCACUUGUAUAAUAAUUUUUUUUUCCUAAAGGCGCACUUGUAUCUGUUGGGUUUUUUGUAUCAGCUGUUAUUUUAAAUGUUCUCUUAAAUCUUUAUUAGCAGUUUUGAAGGCUAAUUCUAUUUAUAUUGUUGAUGAUACUUGAUACACGAUAGUAUAAAGUAUUUGGAUGCUUACCUUCCGGCUGAACACCAUGUGCCCUGAAACAUGAGGAGGGCUGUCUUCUUUUGUUCACUUACUGGGAACAAAAUUCCUUUAUUGGAAUUGUUGAUGUCUGUUUGAUCACAGAUGUUUUUAUUGUAAGUACGUUGGGCCUAGUCAUUUUGAAGCAAUAUAAAAUCAACUGCUAUUGUAAGUUACACUGCUGGCUUUACUGAAUUCAGAGAGUUUCUAAUGGAUCUGAGGAAAUUGCUGUAUGUUUUUCACAUUGAACUGCUUAGAAGAUAUGAAUAUGGGAAUUGUUUCACACUUUUGGUAGGUAAGUCAAUAAUUCUGCAAAUUCCUCUGUUGUCAUGAGAUAUUUGAUCAUAUGUUUGAAUUGAUUUUCAGUGUUCGGCGUGAAUAAAUUUUUAUUACUAGGACAAGAUGAUCUUAUUUAGAAUUUGAAGAUAUCUUCGAAUUUGUUAUUGAUGGUCAAUAUAUAGUUUGCUCGACCAUGUUAGGAACUCCUGUAAUAUGUACCAUGAUAGAUUAGCUUAGGUAGCAUGAUUUCGAUAUUGUCGGUCAGAACUGUCAAUUAGGAGGCUAUGGACUAAAAUGCUACUGAAAUUCUUCCAGCUUGAUCCUUAAAUGGGUGUCUUGUAAAACUCACCAUUUUCAUUGCGUCAAUUAUCUAGUUCAAUUAUUAUGGGAAAAUCACAAAGGAUAUUCAGGUGAAUGCUAAUUAAUGGGAUUCUACUACUACUUCGCCAUUAUGAAUUUAUGAUAGUUGUUGCAGAACAAAGCGCAGUUGAGAAUGAGAUAUUUACAUAGUGAUUCUCAUGGCUACAAUUUUUUUUUUUUUGAAAAUAAUGGUUGUGUUGUUUAGGAGACUUUGGGUGGAUGUUGCUUUUAUGAGAAAUUAUAAGCAUAUAGAAUCACGAAGAGAUGGUUAAGUGGGUCAUGUUACCCAUUUUACUGAUUUGUAGUGGGUCAUGUUACCCAUUUUACUGAUUUGUAGCAUAUGGGAUGGCAUUUCUGGAUGUCAAAAGCGGUGAUGAGCAUUUGAUUAGUUUUUAAAGAAAAUUAAAUAUUAUUGUAAUUUUUGAAAUGCUAUCCAUUGCAACCAACCUGGAAAAUGCCAACUUCAGAAGCCAAAAAUGUGGAUAUCAUUUCAGUUUGAUUCGUUUAGUUCGUAUGGGUUCUUUCUUUGUUGGUCCUUUCUAUUCAAGUUCUGUCCUGUUUUGUAAAGUUUUCUUUAGUGUGAUAGCAAUGGUGGUUAUGCAGUAUUUGAGUCAGAUUGAGGCUCCUUUACAGUUAUUAUUAUAGCUGUCAAUUUUUGCAUAGAUAAAUAUACAUACUUGAGUUAAAUAUAUGUAAAUACUGAAAUAGAAUAUGGUUUAUUCCAGAUUUCUAUAUAAAAAAAUGGAUAUACAUUGAAAGUUUUUUCCUAUGUGAAAAACAAACCAAAGCAACUUUGUUAGAUUCUUUUAUUGGAUUCGUUCAUUACCUUCAUCAUGCAAGUAUUAAAAUGUCUAGAUAAUGAUAUAACACAAUGAGUUAUGUAAGUUAGGGAGUAGUACCUUUAUGUACGAGAUGAGGUAAACAGAGUGUGAGAAUGCUUUUAAUAACAUGCUUGGACACGGAUGUAUCAACAAAUAUUUUCGCUGAAGUGUGCACGAGGCUUAUUUUAAAUUUUGUUCCCAAAAUGUUGUUAUCUUUAUUUCGCCGCUUCCCGUUUUGAUUGUCUCUCUCAAAUCACGGGGGGUCUUUUUGAUGUUUCUAUGCAUCAUGCUGAAAUAAUUAAGGCUGAUGAUAGUAUAGUUGCGUGAAAACAGAACUGCAUUAUGAUCCUCAUAGUUCUUGGAUAGGUUGGGUUUGCGUCGCUUGAUCAUGCUGUUAUAGCUAGUUUGCAAGUUUGUGUUCUAUAGGGCCAUGUAAGGGGCUGAAUCCUUUCCAUACAAGUGAAAGGAUCUCCAUAUGCUACCGAGUCUUUGAACAAAUUCUGGAUAAAUAAUCUGUGUGUGAUUUUUGAUAACUUGGUAACCCAAUAAGCUAUGUCUUGUGUGCUACCAUUACAUUGAGUGACUGCUACUAGAUAAACUUGCUGGUCGAAUUCCGAACUAAUGUACUUGAGUUCAUCUCAAAACCUUAUGAUUUCUUUGGCUCUUCCUUCUUUGUUGUUUUGACUGCGAUGUAGCUCUUGUCGCGCCACUAAUAUCAUACAAACUAGAAGAUAAGCUGGUUUCAUUAAGGACUAGAAAUGUAAAUUUUUUGUUUUGAAGGCUGUGCCAAUGAAAGGGCAUCAGAUUUGUUAGACCCUAGAGAUGAAUGCGAAUGAGGACAACUUGUUUGGCCUGUUUCUUGGGACAGCUUCUCUACUUCUGAGAAGCUGUUUCUGGAUAUUUGGUGAAUAAAAGAACCUGCAGCUUUUGUUGCGGUGGAAAAGCUCAAAUGAGCUAUGAGGCACUAAAGCCAGAAGCUCCAAGUUGUAGUUUUUACUUCUACCGCAGGAGAACAGUGUUGGAAGGUACUAACCAAAAACCUGAUUUUUUUUUUGGAACAAACUUGAUUCAAACAACAGUUUGGAGGCUUUACUCUCUACAAACAAGAUCGAAAGCAUACGCAUAUUUUCUUUUGUUUUAUAUAUUUGUGCUUAAAUUCUUUAAUAAGUGCUCUAUGUUCUUACUUUGGAGAUAUUAUGGAAUAGUCCUCGUGGAUUGUGGUGAUGAUGCUUUGUGAUUAUAGUUAUUACUCUAAUAACCUUUUCAUGAGACUUUUCGAAUCUAAUAGGAUUCUUGUAAACUAAACAUAUGUCCACAAAAUUAGCUGCUAUCAAUUGUAGAUGGGGUUCUUUAAAUUGACUAAAUGUGCUGUAGCUCUACCAGGAGAAAAAAUUAUAUUGUUAAAGCUUGGAACGAACUUUGUCGAUUUUCACAUAUACACUCUCGGUCGACUUAGGUCUUUCAUUUCAUGUCGAUUUAUAGGUCGGAAUAUAUAUAUAUUUUUUCUGGUGUUAUGUUCUGAGCUUUGUUUUGGGCCUUCUUUAGAAAAAGUGUUGCUCUUUGAUAUUGCUCUCUUUGCUUUGUUUUAUAUGAAUUCUCUCAUCUUCUUGAUUAAUAUGGUGCGAUUCAUCGGACGGUGGAGACUGUAAGUAGAGACAUGUCACAGUAACAGAGCCCUCAUAUGAUGGUCUUUUUAAGAGGAUCUCCUUGAAUGGUUUUUCUCCGAGAUUUCGCGCUUCCCCUACUCAUUUAGCUUCAGUAAUUGGGACAUUGUUCUGUAAAAGCCUCUGCACUGCGAAACUGUGCACUGUUCUACUCUGCAUUGUCUCAUUGUUUUGUAUCUCUCUUCUCCUCUCAACUGUUUCUUUUUCUAUAUUUAGCGUUCUAAUUCAUUUUUUAAUGAAUUCGCAGGUUUAGCUCUGCACUGUUUCUUCAGAAAAAGUAAGUAUUAUCCUCGUUGGUUAAUAACACUAAAUAAUUGUUGGCUAUUGCUCCCAUAGCAGUUAUCAUGCUCUUUUCAUGCUCAUAUUAUUGUAGGGCUGAAGUUUUUAGACAAAGUGAAUGAAGCACUCGAAUGUAUGUACAUUUGCCGAUAAAGACCUAACAAAGGACUCCAUGAUUUCGAUGUAGGAGGUUGCGAACUCGCUGAUCCUUCGAGCUGUUUUAUCCGGUAUGCAAACGGGGCCUAAAUGUUAUGGAUUCUGCGGAUUAGAGUGAUCUCUCAUUGUUGUUACUUAAAUAUAACAUUUUUAGAACAUUGAUUAGGGAACUCGCAAAUGGAAAGCCGAGUUUUGAGAAACCUUGAUGCUCGGACCGGUCGGCCCAUUUUCUGUUCCAAUAAAAUCAUAACAAAGCCCGCAUAAAAACUACCAAGUAAUUGUGGAUCGUAAGCGCUGACCAACGAUCCCAAAAGUAUGCACGGAUAGAAAGGGUACAUCCGUCGCACUCAAAGCUCGGCUGCAAAGCCUCACGGGUUUCGACCUGACUCAACCUAUCUAGACUUUAGGUCUAUUGUUGGGCUUUUUACCGUUAGGUCUAUUGUGGACCGCAAUCCUACUCAACUUAUUAGACUCAUCUAGCUCAAUUUAUUAGUCUCUCGGGCCUAUUGUCAUAGGGUAGUAAGUUGGACCUAUUUUAAUCAAUAAUAAAUAGCCAAUAGUUAGUAGUAUUAGCGACUAAUUACACCUUUCCUUGUUCACACAAGAUGAGCCCAUUUUUCUCAUCCUUUGGCUUAUUUGGUGUUGCUGUAAGGGGUGAUGUUGUUUGAUGAAGUGCUUCUGGAGGAGUGUUGCACUAAACAACUCCUUUUAGGUGCCAUUUGGUUAUAUGUAGUUGCAAUUAUACUGCAGUUGUAACUAUAUGUAAAUACAAAUUUUGUGUUUAGUUUGAUGUAUUUAACUCCAACUGUUGCAGGAGGAACUGCAAGAGGAGACCUAACUGUAGCAGUUCGAACUACGCCCAAAUUGGCCGUAGUUCUAGCUACAGCAGUUAGAGAGAGUAACUUUAAAUAAAAUGUAUGCUUACCUCCUCAGUAUUUUUUAAACAAAAAUUAUUUUUCUUUUUUACAUUGGAGGUAAUCUCACCAUCAUAUAUAUAAAAUAAUAAAAUUUUAAAAAUUAUUUCUCAACCGUAUGCAGCCAAACAAAUUAUUUAUACUUACAGCACUUUCUACUACAUCCAACCAAAUAUGAUUCAUAUAGUUGUAACCAUAGUUAGUUAAUUCGGAUUCGGCAAAAAUUCGGUACGGAUAUUAUACGCAUAAAAUUCGUUUUCUAAUUUUUAAAUUUAUUGAAAAAUUCAGCUUAAAAAACAGAUUCGGUAUAAAAUAUAAAAUAUAAGAUAUAAAAUAUAAGACAAUUUAUAUUUAAAAAUAAAAAUUAUAAAUUUUUUAUUCAUAUUUUCAAUAAUUCGGCAAUAAUUCGCGAAUUAUUCGCGAAUAAUUCGGUUGGCCCAAAAAUUCGCGAAUAAUUCACUUUCUUUGGGAAAAAUUCAUAAACAGACCGUUUAAUUCAGAUUUUCAAUAAUUCGCGAAUAAUUUGUGAAUUUACUAACUAGGGUUGUAACUAUUGUAUUUCCAACUGCAUGCAUAUCUAACUGCACUGCAUUUAUAAUUACAUCUAACCAAACGGUCCCUUAGAAAUUCUCUCUAGAGCCAAAUUAGAAGAUUUAGAUUGGAGUUCUCAUCUUUGGGGCUCAAAACUACCUUCCUGUUUUUCUCUACAGCAGAAGCUAGCUCUAGGCCUUUCCAAUUGCAGAACACUCUUUCAUAUCAGUAACUGCAGCUGAAAGCAAAAGCAGAAGCAAGUUAAACAUGCCUUUUCUCUCCCUAUCUCAAUUGCACCAACCUUUUAGCAAAGCAUGGACUCCAAAAUGGUCAAGCAAAAGAAAGAAAGAAAGAAAAGUUAGAAAAGAAGGUAACAAUUUGAUGCUUUAGUUGUGUGAGUUUCACACACAAGUGGUGCUAAAAUUAUAUGCUAGAGUGUGUAGACUUAAUGAUAAUUAAUUAAUUAAUUAGGUCCUCCCAUUGUAGUGCAUCUCUUUUUUAUUUGGGAGUAGGAGGAUUGUGAGGUAAGGCCCCAUCAUUCUCCUAUUGUCAUCCUCACCACCUUUUCCUCAAUUAAAAAUUAAAAAAAAGCACAAUGUAUCAACAGUCCUUGUAUUAUCCCUAUAUUGUGACUUGGUUUUUAUACUUUUCAUUCGAAUACUUUAGGGGCUGUUUGGUUUAGCAGAAAAGCAUGAAAAAAAAAAAUUUGAGAAAAUUUUUUUCCACGAAUUUUUUUUUUUUUUUUUUUCUUGGUCCAUUUAGUUUCAAGAAAAAUUAGCUUUCUUUAAGAUAGUUUCUUUCCAAAUUUUAUGGAAAAGUAGUGUUUGUUUUUCUAAAAAAGAAACUAGAAAAAGAAAAUAUUAACUUGCCAUGAAAUUUGUUUUUUUUUUUUUUCAAAAAAACUAGUUUUCUUUGAAAUCAAACAGACGGAAAAUUGAAACAAAGAUUUUUUAUGAAAAACUUUUUUUUUGAAUUAUUUUUUUCCUGCUUUUCUGAGGAACCAAACACUCCUUAGUCUCUGAAUAUUAGAAAAAUAUAACAAUUCUUAAAACUUGACCAUUUUAUCUAUUGUAAACGAUUUAUUUCUUUCACCUUAGUCAAGCACGAUUAAAUAUUAUUUUACAACAAAAGUCUGCUUUCGCUUGUAUAAUGAUCAGAAAUUAAGUAUAACAUAUGUGAAAGUUCAAGAAUUAAAGUAUUCAAAUGAAGAGUACAAUGACCAAGGUAUAUCAUACGGGAAUGUUACAAGUACCAUUCACAAAUUUCUUUCCAAAAAGGUAAUAUAUAUAUAUAUAUAUAUAUAUAUAUAUAUAUAUAUAUAGAUGCCUCUUAAUAUAAUCCAUGGGUGGUGGUUAAUUAUGGGCACUCCAAUCCUUCUAAUCUUUUGAUCAUUUCCCACCUUUUCCUUUUCCCUCACUACUAAACCCACAAAGCUAAUGUCAACAUCAACUUGAUCCUAAGCAUCCUAAACAUGAUCUUUGAUCCUUGGACUUUGUUUUGAGCCACCAACAAUAACCACAAACUUUUUCUCUAUUUUUUUUUUCCUCUUUUUUUUCAUAAUUUGAUAAGAUAAUUCCAGGUCGGAAAAGUAAUCGAUACGGUAGCGUGCGGUGCUAAACUUUGUUAAUCAAUAAAAAAGGAGACAAGGAUAGGGGAAUCUUUGUAAUUUGGUUACUUCUUAAUUGCCUUCUGGGUGAGGAUCUUAGGGCCUUUACUUUUGUCUAUUAAUGGCAUGUAACACUAUAUAAAAUGUGAUCAAUAGAAGUAAAGUUGAAAACAUAGAAUAUUCCAAUUUUAAAAGGCAUGGGAGGUUAUUUAUUAAGGGCUUAGAUAGAUCAAUGUAGUACAUUUCUAUUCCAAGGGGCCUUGGAAAAUUUCAAAGAGGCAUUUUGAUUAAUGGGUCAUAAUAAGAUGGAAAUUACCUUUUACUUUGGUGCUUAAAACAUUGAAAACUUAAAAUGAGAUUUUUGUUGUCCACCUUUUUCCCCUAAUUAAAAGAAAUGGAAUUUUGUUGCUAACUAUUGCAAAUUUUUUUUCAAAAGAAAAAAGAAAUACUGAAUAUGAUAUUCACGCAUCUGAAUGGUGUUCUUAAUUAUUAUAGAAUAAACACUUAAGUAAUAUUAAGAAUUUUUCUAAAGAAAAAUUCUAGUCGUACACCCGUCGAAUAGGCAUAAAUUUUAGACCCAAUCUGUCCAAAGGUUAUAUCAACCUUUCGGGUUUUUAAUAUUAAAAAAAAUAUGCUAUAGUACAUUGAAAAGGAAGAUGUAAAUCUUAUCCGCUUUCAUCCAAGGGCUAAUAUUUCACACUUAUCUAUUUUUUUUGUUAAUCCUAAAUAUCUAAAAAUGUUUUUUAAUCCUUUUGGAUUGAAAAGUGUUAGAUAUGUAUCCACUUUUCAGAUGUACAGAUAAUAUUUUUUUAACAAAAGAUAAAAAUAUGCGAAAUUUAUUUGAACUAUGGACUAUUUUGAGUUAACUAUCUAUCUUUACAAAACAUUGAUUUUACUGUCAAUCGUGUAUAAUUUUCAGUCAACGGUACUAUUACUUUAAAAUUUAAAUAAGUUGUCUGCUUUAAUGAAUUUAUAGUUGCUAGAAUAGUAUAAAAUAUUCUAACUAAACUUACAAAGACAAACAAUAUACUCAAAUUUUGAAGUCAAAAUGCCAUUAAUUGACUCUAAUCAAACAAAUUGUCAGAUUGAGUAGUAAAAUCAAAAUUUCGAAAGGUUAGAUAGUCGACUCAAAAUGGCUUAUAGUCUAGAUAAGUUAUGUACAUUUUUUUUUAAAAAAAGUAAAGAAAUGUGUUGUGAAAACCCAAAUUAAGCAUGGUUUGACUUUGCAAAUGAGAGCAAAGGGAGGGAUUAGGAGUUAGGUAAUCCAAGGGAGGAAACAAAACGAAAAAAAGAAAAAAAGAAAAAGAUACAAAGCAAUUAAAAAGACAAACCAAAGAGAAAGAGUGAGAGGGAGAGGAUAAGGAAAGGAGAGGGAGUAGUGGUAAUAAUUACAAUCCAAGGAGACAACAAUCAAUCGCUUGUCACUAUCUCCUGGCAACAUNCCCAGUACUUGUGCUGCAUGUGUGUAACAUAGAGUGUGACAUGACAUGCACUAUAGAAUGUUAUAAAAGGGCUUUAUUUUUUUAGCCAAAAAUCAUUAAGCACCGUUUGGCUCGGGGUUAAGGAAUAGAAUAACUUCUUAAUUCAAAAGUUAUUCACAAACACCUAAUUUAGGAGGUGGGAUUAACUAAUCCCAUCCCGCCCUACUAUUCAAACCAAACAAAACACUAGUUUAUCCACUAUCCUUUUUAUUCCACCUUCUCCAACCAAACACUAUUUUAUCUAUACCUGAAGUAAACUCAAUUCUCAAUCAAAUACAAAAUUACUCUAACUCUACCUUAACCCUGAACUGAACUUAUAACUCUAUUCCUGGAAUAACAAGUUUUUACUUAACCCCGAACCAAACGGUGGCUAAGACAUUUUUUUUUUUUUUUUAGGGAUAUAUGGAUAGAUAUAAGUUUAGGAUUCGUUCUUAAAUAGACUAAUUUUUACGUUUAAAUAAAAAUUGAGUUGUUUUCGAAAAUAAAAAAAAUAGCGUUUGAAUAUAUAAGAUGGAAUAAGAAAAAUAGUGAGUAGUUAUAAAUAGAAAAUAAUGAUAUUGUUCCUUAUAUUUAAAUUUAAAUUUUUAAAUCUUAUAUUUAAAUUUAAAUUUUUAAAUUUUAUAUUUAAAAUUUAAAUUUUAAAUAUAUAACUUUUUAAAAAAAUUCAAAAUAAAAUUUUAAAUUUUAAAUCUCAAAUUAAAAAAUUUAAAGUUCUAAAUUUUAAAUUUAAGAUUAAAUUUAAAUUUUAAAAAUAUCAAAUUUUAAAUUUAAAAAUAAAAAAAUAAUAAUUUAAAAUUAUAAAUACUAAUUUUAAGAUUACAAAUUUUUUAAAAUUUAAAAUUUAAAAUAUAAAUAUAAAUUUAAAAAUAGAAUUGGGGUGGAUUAGUUAAUCCCACCCUAAUUCCAUAGAAAGGUAACCUCACCCUUUUUAGGGUUAUCCCGAAACCCCACCCCUCCAAAAACUUGUUUGGGGCACACGAGAUUCACGUAUUAAUCCGCAUCUAAUAUAUGGUACAAAAUAGUACACAUAAUAAGGUGUUAUGUCAUGACUGUGAAAGGGGUUCAGGUUAGGAACCUGGGCGAUGAUGUGAGAUACGUAUGGAUAAGUGGAUGAUAAGGAAUAAUGCUCAGUUUGCUGGAAACAAAAGGAUUGGACUAAUAGUCAGUUAUUGAGUCAUCUGGACUAUAAGAAACGACGUUAUUUUUAAGUUGACUAAUGCUGACCCUUUAUUAACUGUCAACUUGAUCUGACUUUUGAUGCUUCAGUGGGAGGAGAACAGCUUAUUCAAACGAGCAUAUCCUAGUCCCCGAAUUUAAAUAUUCCUCUUUUUUUUUAGUUUAAAUGUUUUUUUUUUGUUUAGGCCUAGUUCGGAGGUUCCUUACCUCACUCUUGUAGUUUAAUUUAUUUCUUUAAUGAAUGAAGCAUGUAGCGUACUACGUAUACCUUUCUCUCUCAAAAAAAAAAUGGCGCAAAAAAAUUAUUUUCUAUAAUAAUAAAGCUAUUGAAUAAAGAUUUAGAUCUCUAUAAUAUAUACAUGUUAUGGUUAUAUUUUGUAUCUAACAUGAAUCUAUUAUUCUUAACACUUAUUACAUCUAAAAUCUUUAUAGGAGACAUAUACCACGUACUCAUCAAGUUUUGUUGGUGGAUUUGUACCCAAGUUAUAUGUUUUAAUGGACCCUACUCCCUAGCUAGCUACUAUUUUGGCUCAUGUUCAAAAUUCCAGGUUGAAAUAAAUUUAAUUAUAGACACAAAAAUGGAGGUUCUAAUUGAAAAUUUUGUAGUUUGGUUUUUGAUAUUUGAAUUUUACAAUUAGAUUUUAAAUAUUUCUUAGUUAUUUUAAUCAAAUUUUUUGUAAAUUUUUAAUCAAAAAAAGUUCGUCGCCUUAUACGUUAUUAAUGCUAACAGGUUUUUGACAAAUUAAGGGAAUUGAUUAAAAUAACUAAAACAUAAUAGAGAUCUAAAUAUUAUAGCUAAUGGUUAAAAUUGAAGGUGAAAAAAAAAAAUUCAAAUAACGAUUAGGAACUAAUGAAGGUAUGCAAUUUAUUCCAUUUGAAUAAAUAAGAAUUAAUGUUAGUGACACUUUUACAAGUUUCAACAUCUUGUUGGGUCUAUGCCAUCGUGGGGCCUUAAUAAUAGAAUUAAUAUUUUAACCUAUACUUAGAUUUGAUUUGAUAUGGAUAUAUAGUAGUUGCUCAGUGUAGGCUUAUCAAUUCAGAUUUGGAUCUUCUGUGGUCCAAGAAUUAAUCCGACCUUUUAAAAAUCAUUUAGUUUUAAGGAUAUAACUAAGUAUAUAUAUAAGAACUAAGAUUGUUAAUUAUCUUUUUAAAAAAUAAAUCAAUCAAUAAAUAAUAUAAAUAAGCUUCUAAUUAAUACUACGUACUUCAAACCGGCCGUCCCUAGAGCAAGUGGCAAAGACAUUGGUGGUCGGUACCCGAGACAUAAGUUCAAAUUCUAGUUGAUUCACAUUUCUAGCUAAGUUUAUUUCUAAAUGAAAUAAAUGAAGUGGAUAGCGUGCUACCUAUCUCUAAAAAAAAAAAUAAAAAAAUUAAUACUACUUCAAAAGGUUUCUAGUGCAUCAUAUAUAUGCAAGUGCUAUGUAUUUAUCAUCAAACUAUCUGUGAAUAUUUUAAGAUAAAGAAAUCAAAUUAACAGUUUUCUAAUGUUGUUUAAUUAUGUGAAAAUUUUCAAUUAAACUCUUAAUAAUCCUGUCCAAAAUCCAUUACAAUAGUCAUGUGUAUAUUUAAUUUUAAUUAUUUAGCUAAAUUAUAAAAAAAAUUUCUGUAAAUACCUAUUUUUUACUCUCCCUCCCUAAUUUUCAAAAAUCUAUAUUUUACCCCCUCAACAUUUCAUAUCGUUGCAUUUAGCCUCCCUCCGUCAGUAUUUUAUUACUAUUCCAUCAAUUUCUUAUAAUUUAUACCGAAAUAUCCUUAAAAAUGAUAGAAAUAUAUUAAAAAAUUAUUUUUCUUAUAGAAAAAAUAAGAGCAAUUUGAUCAUUUAGCCUUCUCCAUUAAUAUCGUACUCCUCUAAAAAUAUUCUAAAAAUUUAAGUGGGAAAAAUAUAGGUUUUUGAAAGUUAGAGAGGAAAAGUGAAAAAGCAGAUAUUUGUAGGGAAGUUUUCUGUAAUUUAGUGUAAUUAUGUUUUGCCCAAUUUUGCCCACCUUAGUUAUUAAAAUCUGGUUUCAUUCGAUCGAGUUUCAUUUGGUUUAAUUUGUUCAAUUCUCUCAAUACACAUUUACGUAAUUUCAUUAAUUAUAUAUGAUUCAUCUCAAUACACAUUUUUUUUCUCUCUCUCAAUACACAUUUACAUAAACUCUUUUUCAUCCUAGAUAAUUCGAUUUGAGAAUCCACACCUUUAAAUAUAUUCAUUAAUUAUAUAUGAUUCAUCUAGAAUAUUUUAAGUCUCCAUUAUAUAUAUUCCAUGUUUUUCUAACAUUUUCUAUGUACUAAUCAAAAUAUCUUAAAUCGAUAAUUUUAUUGGCCGAUAUGAUGUAGAUUAUUAUUUUAUUGUAGAAUAAAAUCAUUAGUUUGAUCUUCAAUAUUUAAAGAACUCUAUCAUCAAUUUUUAUAUGAUCAUUCAAUUCAAACUGUUCGUAAUGUAGCAUAUACAAAAAAAAAUUAAAAUAAUUUUAAAUUCUAAAGACUUUUAAUACUCUAAAUUAUAUUUAGCAGCAAGGGUGAAUGAUAUAUCCCGAAGCCAUAUUAUCAAAAAUAAACUUUAGAAUACGAUUGUACUACACUAAUAAUUUUUAAGAAUUAUAACAUUCUAGAGAUUUAUAAUACUCUUAAUCAUAUUUAGCACGAGUCCAGCUAUUAUACUCUUAGGAAUAUAGACCCUUUUGUAUUCAUAAGUUUUCGGCCGUUAGAUCUACCCCUUUGACUAUUUCCACUCGUUAGAUUAUAUUAUUCAACUAACCACCCAUUCAACCCUAGAAGACCACUAUUAUCCUAACCGCACAUCACUUCAUUCAACGACUGAAAAUUUAUGAGAAUUUAUGAGUACUAAAGAGUCUUAUAAGAGUAUAGUAAACCUAGGCUAUAUAUUUAACAGUAUGGAUUAAUGAUUCGAAAGCUAUAUUAUCAAAAAUAAUAUCUAAGAUAUAUACUACAACAAAAGCGGUCUAUAGCGACACUUUUAAAUAUCGGUACAGGUUAAAAAAAGUGCUGCUGGCUAAAUUACCGACACUUUUAAAAAGUAUUGCUAUAUGUGGGGUCGCUAGGUAUAUAGUGACAGUUAAAGAGUGUCGGUAUAACCUAAAAAGAGUGCUACUAAUUUACUAACACUUAUUCAAGCAUUUAGCAACCGCCGGAACUCUAUCUCUUUGUCUGCGGUGGCGGAGGAUGAGGAGAGGAAAGAGACUCUUCGUCUAGGAUUUCAGUGGAUUGAGUGAGGGAAGAAGGGAAGAUGGUAAUUAAUUUUUCUUUUUUUUUUCUUUUUUGUUGUAAUCGUGCUGAAUGGGCUGGAUGGGGUGGGUUGAGUAGAGUAACUUUUUAUUUUUGGUUGAAUUGGGCUUUAUAUUUAGACAUUAGUAGAUUUCUUUUUAAGUUUCGGUAUAAAUGGGACACUUACACAAAAGUGUUCCAAACAUGUGUCGUUAUAACCUAAUUCUGUUGUAGAUAUACGAUUGUCUAGAUACUGUUAACAUCACCAUGACUGAAGUCUAUCUAUAUUAUUAUUAUUAUUAUUAUUAUUAUUAUUUUGUAAUACUCUGAAUAAACAUGCAUGUAUCAGUAACAAUGUCCCUCCCCGACCGUUUGGUUUCUGCAGUUCACUUUUUUGUUAUUGAAAAUAGUGUAGUCAUUCACUUUAUAGUUAAUAUAUAUUAAUUUUUUAGGUACAUUAAUAUUUUUUGGUCUUCAAAAUGUAAAGUACACACUUUAGUUCUCAAAUUUUAAUUUAAUUUAUUAUAACUUCUUGCUUGAACCUUUUAAAUUGUUAUAAUAUAUCAAGUCUUACAACGAAAUUUAGUUGACCAAAUAUUAACUUAUCUUAAUCUAAAAGUGGUAUACUUUAACGUGUUAUUAAUCAUAAUGCUAUUUUAUUAUUUCCACAUAAGCAACACAUCAAUAUCUAGUAAAAUAAAUUGAGUUGUGAGGUUGGAUUAUAAUAAUUGUACGUAAAAGAAUUAUAAUAAAUCAAAAAUUGAGAACCAAAGUAUCAAGCAAUUUAUAGUUUGAGAUCAAAAGUGUACUAUUUAACCUAUAAUCUUUCUAGUAUACUUAAUUAAAUGUACAUGUUAAUAGCUAAAGUAAAAGCAUCCUUUUGACGGAUUUGAAAUCCAUGUAUUUAUCCAGUCAUCUAUUGUGUGUCAACAAGACUAAAAUAAAAAAAAAAAAACAGAAAAAAAAAAAAAACAAACAAGACUAGAGUUAGGGUUUGGUGCAGUUUUAAGCACAAAUAUUAAUUACAACCAAACUCUUUUUUUUUAAAUUUUUUUUUUAUUUUUAGUUUUACAAGCCAACUGGAAUAAACCAGUUGACAAACCAAACCAAUUGAACAAAAUUAUUGGCUUUGAUUCCGUUUAACAAAGUGGUUACAUGUGUAACUCAAAAACUGAGUAUUUUUCUAUAAGAAAGUGUGUGUGUUGUAUAUAUAUAUAUAUAUAUAUAUAUAUAUAUAGAGAGAGAGAGAGAGAGAGAGAGAGAUAGAGAGAGAGAGAGAGAGAGAGAGAGAGAGAACUAGGCUAGAAUACUAUUAAUAGCAUAAGUUAUUGGUGCUAUUAAGUUUUCGGCCUUUGGAUAAAGCAAUGUGUGGUUAGGAUGAUAGUGGUUUCCCAGUAUUAAGUGGGCGGUUUGUUGAAUAAUAUAAUCUAACGGAUAGAAAUGGUCUAAGAGGUAGAUUUAAUAACAAAAAACUUGGUAGCACCGAAUGUUUAAUGCUAUCGAUAGCAUUGUAGCCUGACAAUAUAUAUAAGUUAUACCACUUAAUAAUCAAUCGCAAAAUAUAGAUCCAUGCUUGAUAUUAAAAAGAUAAAAAUGUAUAAAACUAACUUGAACUAUCGAUCAUUUUGAUUCAACUAUCCAACCUCUCAAAAUUUUAAUUUAGUACCAAACUUUUUAAUUAUUAAUUCGAUUUAGAUAUUUGAUGGCUCUUCGGGUACAAAUUUAAGCUAAUUGCUUACAUUAAUGAAUUUAUAGUUACAUCAAUUGCAUAAAAUAUUCUAGUUAAAUUUGUAAAAAUAAAUAACACAUUCAUUAAAUUUUAAGUUAGAAAGUCACUUAUUAGCUCGAUCAAAUCAAACAAAUUAAAAAGUUAGAUAGAAAAAUUAAAAUUUUUAAAAGUUAGACGGUCAAAUCUAAAUAGAUUAUAGUUAAAGUAAAUUAUAUAUAUACAUUUUAACCAAAAACUAACUGGGGUGCUUCUAAUAGCACCAAGCACUUGGCGCUACCAUCUCUUUGACAAUUUUUAUCCGUUACAUCAUACUAUUUAACCAACCAUCCACUCAAGCUAGAGUAUUAUUAUCAUUCUAAUCACACAUCCUUUUAUUCGAGGGUUGAAAAUCUAAUAGAAUCAAGCACUUAGUACUAUUAAUAGUAUAGUAAACUAAUUAUAUAUAUAUAUAUAUAUAUAUAUAUAUAUAUAUAUAUAUAUAUAUAUAUAUAUAUAUAUAUAUAUAUAUAUAGUUGAGCUAGAAUACUAUUAGAAGUACCAAUUCCUUGGUAGUGCUUCAAAGUUUCUAGCCAUUGGAUUUACUCCUUGAUUACUAAUAGCUUUUGGAUCAAAUACUAUUCCACUUACCACCACCUAUCACUAUCAUCUCAAGCUCACAUCUCUCCAUUGGAUGGCUAAAAACUUAAAAACGCCAUCUUCAUGCAUAUGGUGCUUUUGAGAGUAUUCUAGCUCAAUUAUAUAUAUAUAUAUAGAGAGAGAGAGAGAGAGAAUAAGGCUGGAAUACUAUUAAUAGUAAAACGCUCUUUUUGCUAUCAAGUUUUUAACCCUUGGAUGAAAAAUUAUAGGGUCAGAAUGAUAUUAGUCAGUUAGGGUUGAGUGGUCUCCCUAGGGUUGAGUGGUCCCCAUUGGGUUAUAGUAUUUAAUCCAAUAGUUAGAAAUAAUAAAAAGAGUUGAUCCAAAGGCUAAAAAACGGGUAGCAACAAUAGGAUUUUACUACUAAUAGUAGACCAGUCCAACUCAUAUAUAGUUUGACUGGGCUACUAUCGGUAGUAAACUGUUCGGUUUACUACCGAUUUGUUUUUUAUGAUAGAACUUUCAAAUCGACGAUCGGCACUGUUGAAUAUGAUCUAGACCAUUUAAAUUAUCUAGAAAUCAAAUUUCAUGAUUUUUUGGCAUCACUAACUGAACGAUCAAAGGGUCACAAAAUCUAUAAUUUUAAUGGCUGAUAUGGUGCGUUUGCUCGUUUAACGGUAUAGAAGAGUUCAAAUCAACUAAAUUUUUGUUAAAAAAUUCUUUAAACUAUUUAAAAUAAGAUCUAGACUCUAGAUCUCAAAUAUAAAAAUUGUUUCAUCACUUUUUGAAAGAUAUUCAUUUCCAACCAUUCAUUUUUCUGUUCACUUAAUGGACAAUAGAACAAUAUCGAAAAUAUGUAAAAUUUGAUUUCCAGAUAGUUUAAAUAGUUUAGAUCAUGUUUAACAGUGCCGAUCAUCAAUUUAGAAGCUCUAUCAUCGAAAACAAAUCGGUAGUAAAGCGAGCCGUUUACUACCAAUAGUAUUCUAGCAAAACUCUCAAUAUAUAUAUAUACUUUUAGAAGCACCAACCCUUGGUGCUUCUAAGUUUCUAGUCAUUGGAUCUACUCCUUAAUUACUAACACCCCUUGGAUCAAACGCUAUUCUACCUACCACCACCUACCAUCAUCAUUUCAACCCUACAUCUCUCCAUCCAAUGGUUAAAAACUCAAAAACACAUUUGAGAGUAUUCUAGCUCAACUAUAUAUAUAUAUAUAUAGAGCUAGGCUGGUAUACUAUUGGUAGCACGGAGGCCUCUGUGCUACCAAGUUGUUUUCAAUGAUGCGGCUUCCAAAUCGACGAUCGGCUCCGUUAAACUUGAUCUACACUAUUAAAAGUAUUUNAUAUAUAUAUAUAUAUAUGUAAAAAUAAUUAUGAAAACUAAACUUGGUUAAAUUUAAAACCGAAUCAAACUGAAAACUAAUUAAACUGAUCCAAAACCCAUAAUUCGCAUUGGUUCAGUUUGGUUUUCGGUUUGUAAUCAAACAAUAAACAUGCCUACAAAAUUAGGGUUUUCAUAUAUACUAUGAUACAUAUUUUCACAUUCCUUUAAUUCCUUUCCUGUCCUCUUUCAUCUUGACUUUAGGGAGUCAUGGGAUGGCCCCUGGACUUUUCUUGGAAGGUGUUGGGAAUUGGGUGUAGGAGUGGUUGAGGAGAUAUGUUGAUGGGAUAGUGAUGAGAGGAACUGCCUUUUUUUUUCUUUCUUUUUUCUUUUUUUUUUUUUGAGAGGGAGAGAGAGAAGUGUACAUGUUUAGGUACUGAGUCAUGGAGAUUGAAAAGUAACAAAACACUGAGGAAGUAAAAGUUGAAGAAGAUCUUAGAAAAGCCAUCUUUCAGAGAACCAAUCUUGGUUUCUCUUUAAAUAACAAUUAAUAUAUAUAUAUAUAUAAAUAUAUAUAUCCUGAUCUCCAUCAAUUCUAUCAGAUGUCAAUUUAUGUAUACAUAUAUAUAUAUAUGGUAGUAAGUAGUGUUGCGACUCCUAUGCCAUCUCUUCUGAGUUUAAGUUCUCUCUACACGAGUGGGGUUUGUGGAGAAGCUUAUCAUGUAUUGGCCCUAAUAUGAGAUUUGAGGUGAGAGAAAAAGGAAGAAUGAUAAGUAUUGGGGGAUCUUUUUAUGGCCAAGUCUCUAGACAUGCUCUCUCUAUCUGUGGCCUCUUUUGGACCUAAUACUUUGUUUGGUUUGGUAUUAUAAUUAAUAUCACUCUUUGGUCCCCACGUGUUAUUGAGUGUGUUCCCUUUCCCUGCCUUGAACUCCACUCAAGAAGAAUACACCCCCUCUACUCUCUCUCUCUCUCUCUCUCUCUCUAGUUUUUGUUUAUUGUUUUCGAAUACUUGAAACUUUAUUUAUGCAAGGUUAUCUAUUGGGUGAGGGAAUAGUAUUAGAUUGGCAGACCAUAGUAAUGGGUCGGUGCUCAGAUAUAUAAGUAAGCUGUAGAGAGAGAGAGAGAGAGAGAGAGAGAGAGAGAGAGAGAGAGAGAGAGAGAGAGAGAGCCAACAAGGAGGAGGUUCAGUAUGAAAAGGGUGGACUUUUGGAGCAUGUCAUAUCAAUGCAUUUAAUGCUAGAGAGGUAAAAUGUGAGCAGCUUUCAUUUGUUUGUUCCUUGGUUGAGGCAUUUUUUAUUUAUUUUUUUCUCCCUCAGCUCCUUUUAUUUCACUCACUUCCUUGCUGUUACUUCUGUUCCUUCUACAACCCCUCUCUCUCUCUCUCUCUCUAUCUCUCUCUCUCUCUUACUUUUGCUUGAUUCAUUGCCCUGCUUUGUUGAUGCAUUUCAGAAGAUAGAGAGAGAAGCUACUGCAGAUUCCUUUGCUGUUUUGGGGAUGAGAGCUCUUCAUUUCCCACAAGUUAUAGUAAGACUUCUCCCAGUCCCUUUUAGGUUUGUUGGCAUUUGAAGCAUAUAUAUAUAUAUAUAUAUAGAGAGAGAGAGAGAGAGAGAGAGAGAGAGAGAGAGAGACCCACAUCAUCUUUCUUGUGAAGAUAUAUAUAUUACUCAAUACACAGAUCUUUUUCUUCACCAUCUGCUAUUCAGUGCCUGCUUGAAGAGGCUAGAGAGAGAGAGAGAGAGAGAGAUAGAGUUAGAGAGAGAAGCAGCAAGGGAUCUUUAUUAAUUAAUUGGUCCAUAUAUAUAUAUAUAUAUAUAUAUAUAUAUAUAUAUAUAUAUAUAUAUGAUGAUGAUGAUGAUCAUGAGGUGGUGAUGAUGAUGAAGAGAGGCAGGUUGUGAGGGAGGAGGGGCAAUUUCCUUAUCUGGGGGUAUGUGUGUAUGUGUGUGUGUGUGUGUGUGUGUGUCUGAAGGGUUCUGAAACAUUCCAUCCAUUUGGCAAAGUAGAGAGAUGGGGUUAAUUUUACUUCCCCGGGCCUGCAAUAUUCCAUUUGUUUGCUAAUGGGUUGUACCCAGAUGCCUUUUGGGCUCCCCUUUGAUGUGAGUGUUCAAUGGUAGAGAGAGAAAGUGGUGCAUGAUGGUGGCUGGUUUCAUCCAUAGAGAGAGAGAGAGAGAGAGAGAGAGAGAGAGGAGGAGAGGGUUUACUUGUUGUAACAGUCUCUUUUUUAACUGACAACAAGGGAGAGGGUUGCAAGGAAGUUAUCUUGGAGGCCAUCAAUGAAGAUCCCACAAGGGGACAAAACAAAAGAUGGUUGGAGCUGGAGUUAGAGUUGGGUGUGUGUAGUCUCUAUUCACCCAUUAAAAGCUUUGCGUGUACAAGAUCCCUUAUAUAUAUAUAUAUAGAAAGAGAGAGAGAGAGAGAGAGAGAGAGAGAGAAAAGAUAAUUAUUAGCAAGAGGGAAGUGAGAGAAAACUUUGAAGAUGAAUAUAAAUAAAAAAAAGAAGGCAAAAAAAAAAAAUAAUGGUUGUUCACAAAUUAACUGUUGCACCAGGAGAGAUCUAUUGAUGCCCUUGUUAGAUAUAUAUAUAUAUAUAAUCUUGCCUGAAUUUUUAACUAACUAUAUACCACUCCUCUCCUCUUCCUUUUGUAAUAAUGAGUCUUAUAAAUUUAUCUUACUUGUGUAUUUUGUAAUGUUUAUAUUGUUGCAUGGUUCUCCCACUUGUUACACCACCACCCAACUUUCUUUCUCUAUUUUUUCACCCUUACAUUAUUAGGUUAUAUAUAAUAAUAAAUAUUGUUAACCCACCAUUCCCUACCACCCAUGUAUAUAACUCCUCUUUUUCCCCACCCAAUCCUUAGAAUGUUUUAGAUUCCUCUCUCUCUCUCUCUCUCUCUCUCUCUCUCUUUCAUUUACCCUCUUCAUUAUUCCUAAGCUGACACAAAAUCAGUCCCUUUCAAACGAAACGAAAAAAAAAGAAACAAAGGAAAAAAAAAGGAGGGAUUUUUUUUUUAAAAGAAAAACCAAGUGCACCAAAGUCCAUGUGGAAAAAGACAAGAAAAGCAUAAUCCCUCCCCCACCCUCCUCCCCCUCCCCCCACCCCUCCUCCCACAUUUCCUUCAUAGAGAGAGAGAGAGAGAGAGAGAGAGAGAGAGAGAGAGAGACUUAUUUCAACAGUGAAUCUACAUAGAUAGUAAGUUGCCACUCCCUACUACUACUAUUAGUUGUCUACAUAUAUAUCUCUCUCACAUACAAACACUCUCUCUCUCUCUCUCUCUCUCUCUCUCUUCUUUUUUUCUCACUCUCUCUCUCUCUUCUGAUAUUUUUGGUUUAUCAUGUCCUGUCAAGGAAGCUGCUGCAGUGCCAGAUGUUCUAUUAAAGCAAAGGGAUGCUCCUCCCUCCUCUCCUCCCUCCUCACUCUCAUCCCCUCCCCCUCCCCCUCCCCCUCAUGUUAUUACUCUCAUCAUCAUCAUCAUCACCAUCAUUAUUAUCAUCAUCAUCAUCUCCCCUCCUCCUCCUCCUCCUCCUCCUCCUCCUCUUACACAACUGCUACUACCACCCCCACCACCACCACCUCUCCUUCACCUCUCUCUUGAGAUACCCAUAUACACAUACAUAUAUAUUUAUAUGUUUAUACUACUGAGCUCAAACUAGAGCACUACUAUGCUGAGCUCACUCAACAACCCAUCAUCCUCCUCCAUCAAAUCCCACGACGACCAUGAUUCCGAAGAAGACCCCCACCCCCACCCCCAACACCAACACCAUCACCACCAAUUCCCGCCAAACCCUAAUUUCCAUGUCAGCACCGCCGCCACGCCAUCGCCAUCGCUAUCGCCAUCGCCGCGUGAGCUUCUCGUCGGCUGCGCCGACCUGUUCGGCCGCGGCGACUUCCCCGCCGCCCGCCGCCUCGCCGCCUCCCUCCUCUCCUCCUCCUCCCCCCUCGGCGACUCCUCCGACCGCCUCGCCCACCGCUUCGCCCGCGCCCUCCUCCUCCUCCUCCCCCCUCAACAUCACCAACAACAUCAACAACAUCAACAACAUCAACAAGAAUUAUCAUUACUAGUAGACGACGAUCCUCCCCAGCAGCCGCAUCAUCCCCACCCCUACCUCUCCUUCAACCAGAUCACCCCCUUUCUCCGCUUCUCCCACCUGACGGCAAACCAAGCCAUACUCGACGCCGCCUCAUGGCCAGCAGCCCAUCGAACCAAUCGGAUCGACGCGACACCUCCACGCCUGCAGUGGCCGCGCUCCUCCAGCCCGCCGACCUCCCCGACCCCCCGGCUUCCGCCGCAUCACCGCGCGCAGGCCACCGACCCGCGUCCUGUCCCCGCCUCGACCAAGCCGGGGCCCACUUCGCCCCGCUCUUUCGCCGCGUUCCCUCAACCUCCCCUCCACUCCACCCCUCCUCCUCCCCUCCCUCCCCCUCCCACCUCGCCCCAUCUCCGCCGCUCUCAAUUCCCUCCCCCCUCCCCCCUUCCCCUCCGAAACCCUCGCCCUCAACUUCCCCUUCUUCCUCCACAAACUUCUCUGCAACGAUGACCAGCUCGUCGUCGACUUCCUGCGCUCGAUAAAGGCGAUGAAUCCGGCGGUGGUGACGGUCGCCGAGAGAGAGGGCUGCGGCGGCGGAGGAAACUUCGUGCAGCGGUUCGUCGAAGCGGUGGACUACUACGCGGCGAUGUUCGAGUCGAUGGAGGCGACGGUGCCGCCGGGGAGCCGGGCUGCUCCUCGGGCGCGAGAUCGAGGCCGCCGUCGCCUCCGCCGCGGCGGCCGCGAAUUCGAAUUCAAAUUCAAAUGCAAAUUGUUUGCGCCGGCGGUUCGAUCGGUGGGAGGCGGCGAUGACUGCAGCGGGCUUCGCGGGGCGGCCGCUGAGCGGGUUCGCGCUGUCGCAGGCGCGGCUGCUGCUGCGGCUGCAUUACCCUUCGGAGGGCUACAGGCUGGAGAUGAUGAGGGGUGCCUUCUUCUUGGGGUGGCAGAGUAAGCCCCUCUUCUCUGUCUCCUCUUGGCACUGAAGCUACGCACUACUCAACAUUUUGCAAACAACCCCUUCAAAUAUAUAUUCGAGCAUAUAUAUAUAUAUAUAUAUUUCUAACAAUUUUAAUCAGUUAGUACAAUGAAGGAGUAGUAGUAGUACUGCUGCUGCUGCUGCUAAUGGAUCAUAAUUUAAUUUCUUUAUUAUUGUUAUUGGCUAGCUAGCUAUUUAGAUCGAUAGGGGUUUUAUAUGUAUAAUAUCUUUUAUUGUUUCUUUUUAUCUGGUGCGUUAUGAUUAAUAUAUCUUCUUGUGGGUUCAUUAUUUCUUGUUUCUACCAUGAGUGGGUUUUAGCUAGGGUUUAGAGGUGGGGAAAAAAAAAAGGAAGAAAAACCUACGGGGUAGCUAGGGCAUCUGAAGUUAUGUGUGAGGUGAUAAUAUGUGUGGGAUUUGCUAGCUAGAAACCCUAACCCUAGCUUGUUGUAUUAGCCUAUUGGAAAGAGAGAGAGAUAGAGAAAGAGAGAGGGGGGGGUGAGGAGACAUGUGCAUGCAUGGCUUGGCGAGUGUUGGAGGAGCUAGCCAUGGUGGUAGCGGUGGUGGUGGUGCACGUUGCAUGGGGGAUUUUUCUCUUUUGGAAAAUAGAGAAGAGAUAAAAAAAAAAAAGAAAAAAAAGUAGGGGGUCUUAUUUAAUUAAAAUUAAUUAAUUUCUCACCAUUUAUUCUUCUGUUCUUGCAUAUAUCCCAAGGCAUAAGCUUCUCUCUCUCUCUCUCUCUGUCUCUCUCUCUCUGUGUAAUUUUUUUUGCAUAAGUUUCUCUCUCUCUCUCUCUUUCCCUCUCUCUAGCUAUAUCUGUGUAAUUUUUUUGGUUUAUCUCUUUGUUCUUUUUAUUAUAAUAAUGUCUAUAAACAUCGAUAGGUGGGGGAGUUGUUGCACCAUUGAUUUGUUUUCCUCUUCAAAAAUCCUUUAAAUUUCCACCUCUAGUUAGUUUAUUAAUUAAUCUAUCAUGUACUGCUUCAUGCAAUUAAUCUUGCAUUAUUGCCUGUAUAUUUUUGCUUAAAUGUGGGAUAAAAGAUUUAUUAUUUAUAUUUCAUGAAGGAUCUCAAGCAAUAUCUUCUAUUUCUUAGUCCUCAUGGGUUGGGUGGCUUUUGCUUAUUAUUGUUCAUAUAUAUAUAUAUAUAUAUAUAUAUAUAUAUAUUUAUAAUUUAUAUAUUAUAUUUAUAUUAUGGAUUAAUAGUUUAUGCUAAUGGAUGACUCUCACCCAAAUUAAUUAAUUUAUUCAAGGGCGCUCAUGCUUGCAUGGUUGUUUAGUUGCAUUCACUUGCUUGUUAGUGGUUUGAUGCUGUGAUUUAUUAAUAUAUAUUGUUAUUAUUCCUAAUUAUCGUUGUAGGUCACCACUAACCAUAAUUAUAUGCUUGACAAUAUUAUCUACAAGGGCUAGUUACAUUUGUAUACAUGAGAGUCAUCACAUCACAUUAGAGGUCCUUGUAACACUCAAAAGCGGCCACUUUGUGCUUGAAAUAUGCUCUUGUUCUUGUGCCCCCAAGAAGGGGGGUUUUGUUUCUUGUUUUCUGUGCUCAUGCCCCACAGAUAUUGCCUGUAGUUGUCUUUGGAGUGAACCCAUGCAUAUCAUCCCCAUUUCCACCUCCUAAAUCCUGCCCUUGUCCCCUCAAACAAAAUCAUGGAUUCUCAAAACCUAAACUUUUUUGGUAAGCCAACUUGGCCCCCCCACCCCCCCCCUUCUCAACAAAUCAUUCCUUUUGGAAGCCCCCUUCCUUGGGAUCUUGCAUGCCUGCUUGCUUCCCCAAGCACCCAUGAUUCCCUACCUUCUUGUCCAAACCUCUCUCAUCUCUCUCUCUCUCUCUCUCUCUCUCUCUCUCUCUCUCUCUCUCUCUCUCUCUCUCUCUCAUGAAUAUUUUAACUAGCUAAGAUAAUAUAUUUCUUAAGUGGUCUCUACUCUUCCUUUUUAUGUUUGUUUGUUUUGGCAGAAGAUCAGUAGGCAUUUUCUAUGCUCUAGUUACACAUGCAAGAACACACUUUUUAAGAUUGAUGCUUUCCCUAAAUUAUUAAUUGUUGCAAGGUUCCUCUUGCACUUUUUUUUUUUAUUUUUGAUGGUAGAAUUAAUGGUGUUUUAGGCCCCUCUUGGUACUUUGUGGCAAGAGGGGAUCCACCUCAUUCAGCUCUUUUAUUUUUGGUUUUUUGAAGUAUGGGCUCUUUGUUUUUGCAUGUUGAAUCUUCUAUUCUAGUGCUUCAGUUCCCUUUACAAGAGAAGAAGCAUGCACGUCUUCUAUUCUCUCAUGCUAUUUGCACAAACCUAUGAUUGUGCCUCUUUAGUAUGCAUUUAUGCCUCUUUGAGUUUCCUUCUAGGGUCAUGAUAAUAGUUGAAAAGCAUGAAAGUUAUUAUUGACAUAGUCGCUGUAGUGAAUCAUUCACUGUUCACAUAAUAGACUCGACCAUCUUGUCAUGUUUGAUGAAGUUAAUAGCAGUUUUGCUCCAUUAAUAUUUUAAGAUUGUUUAGGUCUAUAUGUUUGUAUAAUGGUGGACCAUAAAGUGUAGUUAUUGGAUAAAUAAUAAUAGAUAUUGGUUAUAUAUGUGUCAAUAGAAGCACUUUGUUUUCAGGUGGAGAUUCAUUUUAUCAUUAGAAUAAGAGGAAUAAGAAGGUAAAGUUAAUUGCACCUUUCUUCUUAAUUAUUACUUAAUAGAGAUAUGAAGCAUAUAUAUAUUUCCAGCAUAUCUUAGGUGAUAUAUUUCCUGAAUGUUCUAUCUUAUUUAAUAUAACAUGUACACACAUAUAUACAUCCAUGCAUAUAACAAGUUGAGAUUUGUGAAAGAAGCAAGGGUUUUUUCGCUUUUGUUUUGUUUUUUUGUUUUUUGUUUUUAAAGUGUAUUGCUCAAUUACAUAAACGUUGCUAAAUUUUCCUAUUACUAGCAUUAAGAAAAACUCAACUUUUUAAUGAUUGAACAAUAAGAGAGAUAGUUAGACCCCUUCUUAAUUUGUUUUUCCUUUUUUCUUAUUCAUGUGCCUCAAGUUUAAGCCUUCAGAUAGAAUCUAAGAUAUUGGUGUUAAUAUGUAUUUUUGGGCUCGUUUCCUACUGGAUCGAUUUUUUAAAUAAUAUGAUAAUUAGACAAAUUCUAAACCUUUUCGUUCUGUGAGGUCAUAGUUUCAAUCCCCACCUUGAAUUAAAUCUUCAUUUUCUACCUCACCUUCAUCAUGCAUGUGAUUAGGAUUGUCAAUGGAUUAACUCUCCAUUUUCUACCUCAUCUAUUAAUUAUACGUCCUUUUCAUAUUCAUCAUACAUGUGAGUAGGAUUAUUAAUAUAUAUAUAUAUAUAUAUAUAUAUAUAUAUAUAUAAAUUAGCUAGACAUACUAUUUAAUAGUAAAAUCGCUCUUUUUGUAUCAAAUUUUAACCCUUGGAUGAAAAUUGUAGUCGAGAUGAUAUUAGUUCAAUUAGGUUUGCGUGGUUCCCUAGGUUGAUGUUGGUCCCCUGGGUUAUAGUAUUUAAUCAAUAGUUAGAAAUAAUGAAAAGGAGUAAGUUCAAAGUAAAAAACUGGUAGGCAACAUGGAAUUUUUGUACUAAUAGGUAGCCAGUCAAGCUCUCUCUGCUCUCUAUAUAUAUUAACUUUUUAGGGGGCUACACAUAGCCCUAACCGACAUUCUAAUUCAAUGGCAAAACAUUGGUAGCACAAUGACUUGGUGCUAUUAAAUCCUAUAUUUAGCUAGAUCUCUCUCUCUUCUCUCUCUCUCUCUCUAUAUAUAUAUACUAUAGAACUAGGACUGGAAACUAUCAAAUAGCACAAGCUAUUGGUGCCUAAUUAGGUUUUCGGCCGUUGAUGAAAAAAAUAUCCACGGUUAGGCAUGAUUGGGCCUCCUAGGGUGAAUGAGUAUAUUUGUUUAUAGUAUAAUUAACGGAUAAAAAUAGUCAAGAUGUUAAUCUAAUGGCGAAAAAUUUUGAUUAGCACCAAACGCUUGUGCUAUUGAUAUUUCGCAGGCGGACUCUUCUUACUCUCCUCUCUCUCUCUGUGCUCUCUCUCUCCUUCUCUCUUCUCGUCUAUAUAUUUAUAUAUAUAUAUAUAUAUAUAUAUAUAGAAAUUGAGCUCCUAUAUCUUUCAAAGUACAUAGUUAUCUGGUGCUUGUAGAUUUUUAGCCAUUGGAUUUAAGAGAUAUGCGGUUAGGAUGAUUGCCCCCCUAGGGUUGGUUGGGUGUUGGUGAAAUAGUAUAAAUCUAAUGGUUGAAAAUGAUCGCGAGGAGUUAGAAUCUAACGGUUAAAAAAUUACAAACACCAAGGUGCUAUGUACUUUUACAUCACACAUAGUGGCUACUAUACUAUUAUAUAUGUAUUAAUAUAUAAUAUAUAUAUUUAGGUUUGUUUUUACUUAUUGUUGUUUUUGUUUUUUUUUUUUUUGGUAACAAUUGUCAUUGUAAACCACAAUUAACGAAAAAAUGAUAUAUUAUACUAAUAGUAUAUAUAUAUAUAUAUAUAUAUAUAUAAUAUAUUUAUAUAUUAUAUAUAAUGAACUCGGCCGCAAUGCAAUGUUAGAACACAACAUACAAUGACAUGAAUUUAUAUCUAUCUCCCUGGCAGAGGGAGAUGAUUAUGUGCAAACCCAACUCCAAGAAAUACUGGAACUGUGUGACUCGGACCAAUCGAAUCAAGAGAGUAUCUCUUGGGUUCUUCAUCUCCAUCUCCUUUUGAUGUUAUGACACAGAAAAAGGGCAUGAUUUGGCACAAGAAACCUACCUUUGCUUACCCCUUUCAGAGAAACUGCAAUUGAUGGCAUUAAAGUUUUCCUACGUUUUCCCUCUCUUACAAGAAAAUUAUUGGAUAUUAAUUCCUCCCUCUCCAAUAGAAAAUUAAUACACAAAAAUAAUAUUCUUACAGUUAUUAAUAUGCUGUCAUACUAAUAUGUCGCAAAUAGAUUGAAUUUAGUUGCAUUAAUUGUACAGGUUGUUGCUGCAUGGAUGAGAAAUAUUGGCAUCUUAAUAUGUUAAAGUAACUGCAACAAAUUAAACAUUUUCCUUGCUUUUCUAUACAAGCUGUUGAUGCAGAGAUGAAAAAUCUCUACUGUUGUAUCAGGUUAUGAGUGUAGGUGAAGUAAUGAGGUAACUUGGUAGGUUGGCCAAAGUGUGCUAUGUGGUACCAGAUGCAUUUAUUGCAAUGAUAGGAGGGAAUGGGAUGCAUCAUAGAUCAGGAUCUGUCAAAGAGAUCCUACAUUGAUUUUCUUAAUGAUUGAAUGCUAGAAAAGUAUUGAAUUUUAUGUGCUCAUCUUCUCAGCUCGUGAACUGGGCAUGCAUCUGAUUUUCGAUCUCUUCCUUAAAAAAAAAAACAAAGAAGAAGCAUAUGCUGUGUACCAGAGAGAUGAAUUAACUCUGUGAGAAUUAAAGAAGAGAUAGAGAGGACUAUUUUGGACAUUAAUAUUGUACAAGGUAGACAAUAUUAAUUCCUAGCCCGUAGACUCUCACCACAUGCAUCAACUUUGUCUCUUAUAUGGUAAAUUGAUUUGAUAAGUAAAUAGGGCUAAAGAAAGGGUCAAAUAGCUAGCACAGUAACAGUGCUGUACUGGGAGUAGAGGUUUUACCUGCUACAACUGUUACAUCCACUAGCUUGCUAGUAAACACAGGAGCAGGAUGAAUAUAAUCUGAGCUAUAUUUGAACCUGCAACUGUGCUGGCUUAUGUAUGUACAAUAUAUAUAGUUACGGAUUAGACUAGAAUAUUGUUAAUAACACCGAGUCAUUAACGCUAUUAGAUUUUUAGUUCUUGGAUAAAGAAAUAUGUAGUUAGAAUGAUAGUGGUUCCCUAGAAUAAUUGAAUAGUAUGGUCUUAGGAAUGAAAAUAAUCAAAGAGAUAGAUCUAAAAGUGAAAAACUUGUUAGUAUUAAAUGUUUGAUGCUAUUGAUAACGACAUUGUAGCAGGAUUGAUUAUGUUACUUAUGUGUAUGUAUAUUAAUGUCCUUGGGAAACCCUAACCCUAAUCUCUGGUAUCAUUUUGUUGCCCUUUGGAAACCCUAACCAGACUCUCUGGUAUAUUCGCUCCUGCACCUAUGGUAGAGUUUCCCAUAUAUUCAUGUAAGUAGUAGUCCUUUUUACUUUAUCACUGAAUAAAUAAUUAAGAUAAAGAAGCAACAAGAAGAAUCACUUGCACGUUUGCAUCUCAGAGUGUCUGACCCUAGAAGAUCCUCCACUGAUUCUCUAGCACAUUUCUUUAAUAUUUAUCCAUCUAUUCACCUCAGGAGAAGCUACUUGAUGAUUGUGACCCUCCUCUCUCUCUCUCUCUCUCUCUCUCUCUCUCUCUCUCUCUCUCUCUCUCUCUCUCUAAGUUUUUUUUUUUUUUUUUGAGGGGGGGGGGGGGAGGUGUGGUGUGUUACAGUGCACAACAUGUGAGUAGGAGAAUCCGAGUUUGAAACUAGGGGUCCAUUGAAUUGGUCGGGAAGGACAAACAGCUUCACAACCCAUGCAUCCCAUCUUAGGGUACCAUACAUUCCAAUGAAACCAUGUGGGCUUGUAUCACAAUUCAUGUAAAGAGAUAGCUACCCUAAUUAGCUAUGCAUGCAUAUAUAGGCUAGCUCCUGCCAUGAAAAUCUGCCCAAGCUGGAGUUGCUGCAAACAAUGUCACCAUCCACUGCUGUGGACAGCAGUAGAUGCAAGAAGAACCAAACCACUCCUAGCUAGUGGUUUUAAUUCAAUAUAUAGACAACAUAAAUAGUUUUUGAAGAUAUAUAUGAGUUGUUGGGAAAUUGUAUAUGUAAUAAGAGAGAACUAGUAACAUGUUGAAGGUUAUGAACUUCUCUAAUUAAGUUUCGCAUUUACGUAACUUGUUCUUGGAUUGGCUCAAGUGAGUUGCUACAUGCACCAUUAGAGAUAACUCUACCAUGGUGAGCAAUAAGUUAACAAUGAAAUGGAGCUCCAUGAUGUGAGUAUGUAGAGUAAGACCCCUUAAUUAAUUCCUCUAAUUCAAUAAAUGGCCUCUUAUUACUUCUCCGUGCACAUAAUUAAGAAUUAAUCUUCUUCCAAAGACACCAUACAGGUGCCGUAUAUAUGUGUGUGGAAUGAGCUGUUGAUAAAAAAAAAAAUUAUGUACUCUUGAGUAUGUAUUAAUCAAUAAUAAGAUGUAGUUUAAUUCUUAAUGGAAAUUAAUAAGUUGGGACAGUGUGGUGGUGAUCAUAUGGGACAUAUAUAUAUGGUUUGGGAGUACAAGAGAAGCAGCUUUGAUUCUUUGUAAAGGAGGGCAAAAAUCCAUAAAUAAAGAAUAGUGUUGCUCUGCAAAGUGAGCUGUGCAUGGUUAGGGCUACAUGUAGGAAUGGCCCAUAAAAUAUAUGGGACUCAGAUUAGGGUUUCUGACCACUUGAGCAAUAAUGAGCAGCAUAUAUGUACAUGUUGAAAGAUGAGGUUGCUAUACACGACUAGAGAAUAUGGAGGCUUUUAUAUUGAAAAGAGACUGGUGUUGAAUUGCUGGGGAAAGAGGAGCUUCAGAGAUUAGGGUUUUCAGUGAAAGGAGUGGGGUAAAGGUGAGAGGAAAGGUAUGGUGCUUCUAGGUACAGUGCCACUUCUGAGAAGUAAGGUAAAAAAAAAAAAAAAACAAAGCACAGCACAUGCAUUUGAGACUUAUGAUCCAUAGUAGUACACUCAUUCCAUCAGGAAACAAUCCUGCUCAAAUGAUUUAAGAGAGAGAGAGAGAGAGAGAGAGAGAGAGAGAGAGAGAGAUCACAAUGUUUCUAAUACAGACAUGUUCAGUAAAAGUGACAUGUAUGUAGAAUAUUCUUCUUUCAUGUUACUACUUAGUGAACAUAGCUAUAUAUUCUCCAGUAUAGCAAGUGAUAGUGGGUAUUUUAUACAAACCUACACUUACUAUUUAGGACUACACAUUGUAAAAGUUAUGCAAAAGGCUUUUUAGGGCAUAUAGGAAAGGUUAGUGUGUGAAGAGGAAGUACUGCAGUUGAACACUGGAAUUCACAAAGCUAGGCCAGCUGGAAAUGAGUGAAGUAGAAUUAUUUUAAUGUGAUUUCUUUGUUGGCUUUAUAUAUGUGGCAGUUUAUUGUGACUUUAUUUCUUGUAGGCAACUAAUGGAACAGAAGAGAAAAGAGAAAAGAGAAAAGAGAUUAAUGCCCCAGUCUAAUUUGUAACAUGACAAGUUAGAACUAAAAUUAUAGGGUGCAAGCAUCAUUUAAUUCUCUUUCUCUGUAAUAACUUAGAAAAGUACUAGCUUCUAAAAGAGAGAGAGAGAGAGAGAGAGAGAGAGAGAGAGAGAGAGAUUUGAAUCUAAAUAUUUGUGAUACUGAGUUUGAAUCCUACUAAUUAAGAACCAGUACAUGUCUAAUUUAAUUUCCUCUCGUAUAUUCAGCUUCACGUUUUGAACCUAUCAAAAAGUCUCAAGUCUAAACACAAAAAAAAUAUUGAAUAUAAAUAUUAAAAAUAUCAUUAUGAGAAUAACGUACGAACUUUACUAGAGAGGUGUCACAUCUUUAGAUGCUAUUUGAACUUCAUAGUUUUGAUUUUACUAUCUCACUUUAUAAUAUAUAGGAAAAACUUCAAAUAUCCCCCUUGUGGUUUCACUUUUUCUCACUUUAGUACCAUGUGGUUUAAAGUGUAUCUAGUUAGUAUUAUGUGGUUUUACACUUUUUCACUUUAGUACCCUGUGGUUUAAAGUAUAUCAAGUUAGUACCCUAUGGUUUCGCACUUUCUCAUUUUAUAUAGUACCCUGUGGUUUCAUACUUUCUCACUUUAGUACCCUAUCUUGUGGUUUAAAAACCACAGGGUACUAACUUGAUACAAAAAUAAAAUCAUAGGAUACUAAUUUGAUACAAAAAUAAAACCACAGAGUACUAACUUGAUACACUUUAAACCACACGGUACUAAAGUGAGAAAGUGCGAAACCACAGGGUACUAACUUGAUACACUUUAAACCACAUGGUACAAAAAUGAAAAAGUACGAAACCAUAGGGGUGAUUUUUGAAGUUUUCCCUAAUAUAUAUGAACUAAAUAUAUAUUUAUCACAAUUAAUUCAAUUGUAUUUAAAUGUUUUUUGAUGAGAAAAUAGUGCAAUGUAUCAAAAUAUCUUCUUAUGCCAUAGACUAUAAAUAUAUUUUUAAGUUUAAUGCAAAACCAUUAACAUCCGAUCGGACAAAAAUAUUUUUGAGAUUAAAAGAAAUAUAAGAUUAGAUAUAGAGUAAAUUCAACAUUUUUAAAACUGAAAAUGCUCGCUUUAAAUUCCACNGUGCUCCUAAUAGCACACAACACCUACUAUAUAUAUAUAUAUAUAUAUAUAUAUAUACUAGUUAAGGGACCCGCGCGAUGCCGCGGGUAGUUAUUUUAAAAUUUAAUUUAAAAAUUUAGUUAUAAAAAUUAAUUUCAGAAUAAUUAUAAAAUAUUAUGGACAAAUUACGAAAUAAUUUUAAAUAAAUACAACUAUCUUUCCUAAUAUAAAAAUAUAAGGAGCUCUAUCAACCAUAAGAUACUUUGAAAUAGUUCUUCCACUUUAUUAAAUAUUUUCUUAUUUUGUUCUCUUUUGUUUGAUUUGAUAUUACUAAUUUUGUAAGAUUUUCUAUGCUAAUUAUUUCAAACAUGACCGCAUGUCUAAGGGGUUGAGAAAUAAUAUAUGGUGCAAUAAGUACAUCAAAUAUUUUUAGUAGGCAUGAUAGUCCCCCAUUAAUUAGUGAAUUAAUUUUUAGUAUAGAUAUUGUAGUCCCCCAGUAGUUAGUGAAUGAGAAGAGAAACCAUUGCUUGUGAUUCUCGCAAUUAAGUUUAGUCAAACAUAAAAUUAACUUAAGCUGCAUCAAUCUUUUUUUUUAUUUUUUAAUGUACAAUCUAUAUAGACAUAUUAUUCAUCAAUAUUAUAAAAUUAACAUUUUAUAAAAUUAUAAAAUUAACAUUAUACAUAUAGAUAUAUUAUUCCUCAAUAUUAUAAAAUUAACAUUUAUAUCUAAUAUCAAUAAUCUAAAUUAUUUAACAUUUAUUUAUAUAUUUUACAUAUUAUAAAAAUAAAUAGUACAAAGUUUGUCUCUGUUUUGAAGAUGAUCGUACAGGAGAUCGCUGAUUUUAGAUUCGUCAGGAACCUCGUUCAUAGCAGCCUGGUUGAUUUGAAUGGAAAAAUGGAAUCAAACAAAUUACGAAAAAAGUAAAAAUAAAGCAGCAUGAUCACAGACCGUGAUAUAUUUACAUUUAUACCGCUGCGAAAUUAGUGUCACUAUGCAAAAUCUGAAUGUUCGUUACCUUCGAAAACUUAAAUUUGUUACAUAUUUAUAACAUUACAUGCAAAAAAAUGCCCCUCUUCUAGAGAACUCUUUUCCAGUACUAAACCAACUUGCCCCCAUAAAUUAGGCGACUCCCCAAUUCAAUGUAAAGGGCUUUUCAUUUUUAAUAAGAAACUGCUCUUUCAAGGAUAUAUAAGAAAAUUCAGAUUUUACAUGAGUGUGUGUAUAUAUAUAGAUGAUUUUGCAGGGUAAAAAUUCUAUUUUGUUCAUAUUUAUUAGAUACCUGCAUCAUUCGCAUGUCAAAUCGACCAACAAAUAGAGUCACGGAUACCAUGAGAUCAAAUACCGUCUUGAAUAAGUCGAUGGAAGUCCUAAAAUAUGAAAAGGAAAGGAAGCUGUGAAUUCCUAUUGUCGCCUUAAAAUGGAAAAAGAAAAUUAAGAAAAAUAAAUGUAGGCUUAGCCAAUAUUAGCAUACCUCAAAUACCAAGGUACCAUGUCCAAGAAAUCAGGUUUCAUUUGUUUCUUCAACUUCUCAUACUCUGAUAUUGUCAUAGGAUGAGUAAGAGCCCAUCUGUGGCAUCGGAAAGGCAAAUAAAGGACAAUUAGAUAACAUAAACUAAUCCAUUUGAGUAAUAAGCCAAAGAUUUUGCAACCUUUACGUAGAAAUUACACUAAGAUGAAGAAAACCUCUUACAAAAUGUCGCUUUUCUUUUUGUUUAACGUCGCAACCCAAAUCAAAAACAAAAACAAAAACAAAACCUAAACCUAUAAACCCAUGAAAGUAUAAUUGUCAUUAAUUUGCCUCUUUCCAUCAAUCUUCAUCAAGCAAUACAUAAUAUAAAAUAAACUCAAAAUGAUGUACGCAUCAUCUUCAACCGUCUCCUCUACAUGAAAUAUUACGUAGUAAAAGAAAGUAGCAUUUAUGUUUAAGAGUUAUAGUGAAUUAACAUACCCAGUUGAUCGUUCGAUGACAUAAUUAGUAAUGUAGAGUCCGAUAAACGUUGCCUACAAUGAAUAUAAAGGCGAUAUUUCAUCUGAAAGAUGAGGACACGAUCCAUUGCAAGCUAACUGUAGCAAACAAAAACCAAAAAUAAUAAACCUAGAAAUUAAGAAAAGAAAAAGAUAUCAUAUGAAAGCUGGAGAAAGUUCAGUAUACCUCCCCAUAGAUGACCCAUUUAGAAAAGAGCAGGUAGUCGCUAGCAGAGCCAACCGGCGCAAACCAGGAAGAACAAAUUUGGUCCUUCCACUCGUGCAUUUUACGGAACUUGGAUAUCCAUAUAUUUCUAUCUUGUUUGUUCCACAAAGGGAAAGAAAACCAAUUUGAGUUUCUUCUAUCAAAGUGCUUCUCUCUUGUGAUAGCUCGAUUACCGCAAUGACUGUAAAAUACACAGCAUGCUAUACUUAUGACCUGCAUAAUCGCAAGCGUUACACACAGCAAUAAUAUUAGGUAUAUAGCGCUAGGUUUAACCUUUUUAGGAGGUUUCAGUUUAGCCCACAACUAUUUGAUAGUCGAUACUUAUUAUCAGGUCGCUAAACAUUGUACUCUAUAUAUGUGAUCUAAUCCUUGUUGUUUGAUCCCAUGGAUAAAUUGGAUUCGAAUGCUCACAGAAUCAACAUAUGAGAAGUCGAAUAGUUAAAUGAUGAUUACAUGGAUAUUUCUACCCAAGUUAACAGAGAAAUGAAAUGAAACAGUAAAUAUUGCGAUGAAAUGGAAUAAUUAGGCACCUAAUUUAUUCAUAUAUAUUGAAAGGUUGUAGAACAAACUGAGAGCAAUUUACCCCUAAAAAGGUCACAAACCAACAUCAAUUUGUUGUGCGUUAAGACAACUUUAAGAACUUACUGCGCAGUUUUGGAUGAUAGUGAGUAUCUCUGGUCUCUUUUAUGCCAUUCGCGAAACCAUGCCCAAGUACCAAAGCCCGAGAAAUAUAAUGUGGAAAACAAUAAGAAAAAGAAGGGAGGUGAUAGAAAUUGUGAUGAAGAGAGAAAGGUUCAUUUUCAAGUCGACUCCCAUCGACUGAAAACUUGGAAGAUGAUAUAAAGCUGCCAUGAAGAUCCAUGCAAUGUACCUGCAGAACAAAUGAGACUAACACAUUUACCUUGUUUUUGUCCAAUAAAAAAAUUGCCCUCUUUAAGAAACUUAUUCAGAUUCAAAACAGCAUUUCCCUAAAUUAGACGACUCCCGAAGUUCGUGUAAGGUGCUUUUCUAAGAAACUGCACUUUUAAGGGGAUAAAUAGGAGCACCGGAAUAUAUAGUUUUACAUAUUAUCGGAAAAAGAAUAAUGUACCAACGGAUGAAGUAAGAAUAACUUGGCUUGAUAGUCUUCCUAAUGAAAGGAGAAGAGAAGAAAUAAAAGAAAUCAAUCAAGCAAAUGUACAUGGACCACCACUUGAUGUUUUUGUCCAUUUUUCCGCGCCCGCCCAGCGCCGCGCUGCGCGCCCGCGCCCAAUUUGGUACAUUUGUGAGCUUGAUCAUGAAGCAGAUGGUUAUCUAAAAAUUGUAGAGAAACAUGCAUCAGGUUUACUACCAGAGAUGAGAAAGGAUGGUAAGCAUUUGCUAAAAUUAAAUAUUUGCUUUCCCUGACUUUGCUACCCUCAUUAUUGAAGUACUACGUGCCUUUUCUUUUCUUUUGUUUUAUGUGCCUUUGAUUUUUCAAUCAUAGAAUGUCUUCUGAAAAUGCAAAAUUAUGUUUGGGGAUAUGAGAAUCUGCACUUUCAUAUGGAUUCCAAAAUAAUCUUGUGCUUGCCACACAUCAUUGUUGCUUCACUUGUAAACAGAAUGAGACGAACAAACUGUUGUUUGUGCAAUUGUUACCUUCACCAUGAAGAGGAAAAAACUUUUUCAGUUGGUGGGAAAAGUGCUUGCUCUCGCCCGCCCCAACUCGCGCAGCACGCUUGCGACUGCCCGCCAGCCACGGCUCGCCCCACGUCGGCGCCCUCCCGCGCCGCGCGCCUCCGGCCCUCGGCUCGCGUCCACGCCAGCGCCGGAGCCGCCCCCGCGCCAGCGCCCGCGCACGCGCACACCCCGCGCCCGCGCCAGCGCCCGUGGCCGCCCACGCCCCGCGCCCUUACCCGCGCCUCGGCCUCCUCGCGCCGUGCUCUCUUCUCUCUCUGAUUAUUAGGGUUUUGAGGAGGGAGAUGAUGAAGAGAAAAGAGAGAUGGAAGAGGCGGAGGAGGGAUCGAAGCGAAGGCGAGGUAGAGAUCGAAGCGGCGGAAGGCGGGGAGCGAUCGAAGCGGCGGGAGUAGGGGAGGGAACGAAGCGGCGGGUAGUGGGGGAGGGAUCGAAGAGGCGAGUAGUGGGAGAGGGAUCGAAGGGCGAAGGAACAAAUGGGAUAUGUCGUGGCUUGAUGACAUGGAUUGAAUUAACCUGAAUUAAGAUAGUUACGACACGUGGCAAAAAAAACACGGGGAUUAAAAAGAUUUAAUAGAUAUAUAUAAACUUAGGCUGAAAUGCUAUCAAUAGCACUAACCUAUUGGUGCUAUUAAGUUUUUAGCCCUUAGAUGAAAAAAUGUAUGAUUAGGAUGAUAUGGACCUCCUAGGGUUGAGUGAGUUAUUGGUUUAAUAGUAUAAUCUAAUAGUUGAAAAUAGUAAAAUGAUUAAAUCUUACGGUGAAAAAUUUGAUAGCACCAAACACUUGGUGCUAUCGAUAAUAUCCCAGCCGGACCUCUCUCUCUCUAUAUAUAGUCUGGCUACUAUACUAUGAGCGUGUUUGGUUUGCUUGUAUUUCAUCCUGGAAUCGGAAUGGGCAAAUCCGUUUGUGAGUGUUUGGUACGCGGGAGUCUCAUUCCGAUUCCGAUUUCCGAGUGGAAUGAGAAUCCCCUAAUCACCUCUUUUUCCAAUUCGGUCUAAGAGGCCGGAUUGGAAAUUGAAUCCGGACGGAAUGGAUAUUUAUUUGGAUUAAAUUUAUUUUUUAAAACUUUUUAAUUAAAAUAUGAGUUUAAAUUUAGAAAUUAAAUAUAUAAUUUAAAAUUUUAAUUUGAACUUGAAUUAAAAAUUAAAUUUUAAUCAAGUAUUUCAAAUCUAACCUAUAAAUUUGAAUUUAAAUUAAAUUUUAAUUUAUAUAAAGUUUUAUUCAAAUUUUAUUUAAAACUUAAAUUAAAUUUAUAGAUUCAAAUUAAAAUUUAAAUUGUAAUUUUAAGUUUGAAUUUGAAUAAAUCGAAAUUUAGUUUUAUAUUUUGAAUUAUCCACUCAACUUCAAAGUUUAAUUUUUUUUUUAAAAAAAUAGAUUUAAAAUUUUGACAUUAUUUCAAAAUUUUGAUGUAAAUGUUUAAUAUUUAAUUUUCAAUUUGAAUUUAAAUUAAUAUAGUAUAAAGAUAAAUUAAAGUUAGUAUUUUAAUUUGAUUACGUUUUUUAUAUCUACCUAAACCAAACACCGACAAUGGGAAUGAUUUAUUCUGAUUCCGAUUCAGGUAAUGAAUCAAAACAAAAUUAGGUAAUGAGUCAUUCCGAUUUCGAUUCCAGCUUAUUUCAAUUCCGAUUCUGAUUUCGAUUCAACUUCGAACCAAACACGCCCUAUUAGUAGUACCAGGCGCUUGGUGCUAUCAAGUUUUUCGCUAUUAGAUCUACCCUUUUGACCAUUUCUACCCGUUAUAUCAUACUAUUCAAGCAACUACCCAUUCAACGCUAGGGGACCACUAUCAUCCUAUCCGGGGACUACUAUAAUCCUAACUACACAUCCCUUUAUCCAAGGGCUGAGAACCUAAUAGCACCAAACGGACAGUACUAUUAAUAGUAUUGUAGCCUAAUUAUAUAUAUAUAUAUAUAUAUAUAUAUAUAUAUAUAUAUAUAUGGAAAGAGAGAGAGAGAGAGAGAGAGAGAGAGUCCAACGACUAUACUCUUAUGAGUACGAUCGCCUUCAUGCUCAUAAGUCGUAUUGGAUAAUAGAGUUUCCGAAUUGGCGUUAUCUAGCGCAUUUGAAAUUUCUAUAAAUCAAAUUUCAUAAAUUUUCAACAUCAUUUACCUUAUAAUCAAAAGAUCUUAAAAUUGGCAAUUUUUAACAGCCGGUACGGAAUACUUACUAGUUUAAUGGUAUGAAAGAAUUGGAAUCGGUUGAAUUUUUGAUAAAAAAUUCUAUUUACUAUCUAAAUAAAGAUCAAUAAUUUUGAUCUGAAAUUGAAGUAUUCAAUCCUCUAUUUUUAGUAAGUCGUUCGAGUCUGAUUGUUUAUUUUAUAUUCGCUUGCUGAACUUUAUUAUAAUUUCAAAAAAAUUAUGAAUUUAUUUUUUAGAAGUUUCAAAUACUCUAGAUUGAUAAUAUAUAUUUAACGAUAUUGAUCAUCAAUUCGGAAGCUCCAUCAUCGAAAAUAACUUAUGAGUACGAAGGGCUCUAUACUCAUAAUAGUAUAGUAGUCAUAGUCUGUUUAUAUGUAGAGUCUGGCUAUUAUACUAUCUACAAAGCAUUUGGUACUAUUGAGUUUUCAUCGUUAGAUCUGUUGGUUUAAAUGAGCCAACAUCCUGCCCUGUGGCGAUAGGCUAUGUUGGGCCGAGUCACGUUCGAAAUGGCGUGAGGCUGGGUAGGCCAAGUCAUGUUUGAAGUGGCGUGAGGCCGGGUGGGCCAAGUCACAAUUAAGACCCGUGGGCGCUGUAUCUGAACAUUUUAAGUGAAUUGGUUGCGUAUUUCUAACAGCUUGAGCUUUUGGGAUUAAUGGUUAGCGCCAACGAUCCGACAAGUGGUAUCAGAGCCAGAGGACACGUGUUCGAUUCCCGCAUGCUGCAAAUGUGUGCAGGUGCUGGAGGGGGGAUUGUUGGCUUAAAUGGGCCAGCAUCUUGCCCUGUGGCAAUAGUCCAUGUUGAGUCGAGUCAUAUUCAAAAUAGUAUGAGGCUGGGUAGGCCGAGUCAUGUUUGUAGUGGCGUGAGACCGGAUGGGCCGAGUCACAAUUGAAACCCGUGGGCGCUGUAUCUGUAUACUUUAAAUGAAUUGGUUGCAUAUUUCUAACAACUCGAGCUUUUUUCAUCGACUGUCCCUAGUGCAAGUGGCAAAGGGUUUAGUGGUUGGUACUUGAGGUCCCAAGUUCGAAUCCUAAUUGAUUCAUAUUUUUAGCUAAAUUUAUUUUUAAAAGAAAUAUAUAAAGCAGGUAGCAUGCUACAUUUCUCUCCCAAAAAAAAAAAAAAAAUUUAAGUUUCGGGCUCUGGACCGGGCACCCAGAAGUGAAUUGGGAUAGCCCGGAACUGUGGGAAAAAUAUCUCAAUUUUUUUAGUAAAAUUAUAUUUUCAUGUGGGAAAAAUAUCUCAAUUUUUUUAGUAAAAUUAUAUCCUUUUUGAAAAUAUUUUGAAUAGCAGUUAGAAAUGCACGCAAGAAUAUUAUAAAGAUGUAAAGAUCAGAUGAGGCCUAUGAGUUGAAGUGUGUUAGGCAGUAUCCUUGAAGCGAGAUUGUCCCUCCAUUUGCGAGACUUCGACAAUCACCUCUAACAAUACAAUGACUACUGUCCACACCGUCAGUACGUCUCUAAAGUGGUGUAACUCGAACCAAAUGGACUUUUAGAGAUCUAACAAAUAUGGACCAAGAUGUGACUCUCGGGUAGUCUGUAGGACGAAUUCCCAGGUAGAUCUAGGUAAGGUUAAGGUAUAAUAUAAAAUUCCAAAAUGAAAAAUAAGUCCAGGUAAGGUAAGGUUAAGGUAAAAUAUAAAAUAUCAAAAAGAAAAAUAAAAUAUAAGUUGAAUCGAAUGCCAUGCACGCUGGCGCAUGUUUUGUGCAAGACACUAUUCUCAUUAUCACCCAAACAACUAAUUAACUAAAAAAUAUUGGAGCAUAUAAGGCGUUACUAUGUCUUGAGUUUUCAAUGUGAGACUAAACUUACAUAUACUAAUAUAAGCACGGGCUCUCAGGCAUAGCCCACUUGCUGUUGGGCUGCCAGAAAGCCCAUGGGCCGAAAGAAAAUUUAAAUUACUUAAAAUUAUAUAAAUACUAACAAGAACAUAAUUAAGUUUCGGGCGCCCACCGACCGUCCCUAUAGCAAGUGUCAAAGGGCUUGGUGGUUGGUACCCGAGGUCCCAAGUUCGAAUCCUAGUUGAUUUACAUUUCAAGCUAAGUUUAUUUCUAAAUGAAAUAAACGAAGCGGGUAGCGUGCUACCCUAUCUCUCUCAAAAGAAAAAGUUUCGGGCGCCCAAAAGAUCUUUUGGAGGGUCGGGAAGUUGAUUAACUUCUGAACUCAUUGGUUUGGGCAUCUGAAAGAGGUUUUGGGCGCCCGAAAGUUGUUCCGGGUGCUCAAAUCACUAGAAUUUGAAUUUGAAUUUGAAUCAGCGGUUGCAUGUUUUGGUUCUCUGUGAUCAGAAUCAGAAUCACGAGUUCGGUGGUUUCGAACACCCAAAAGUUGUUUCGGGCGCCCGAACUUUAAAUACUUUAUAGGGCUAUUUUCACAAUCUACCAUCUUAUCUAUGUUCAUGAACUAACAACUACCACUUCAUGUCAGUUGCCGGUAUAUAUAUGAAAACAAGUGCACAAAUUGUUCCAAGCCAAAGUUGUUUAAUUAAAUUCUCUGAUUUGGUAUCAAAAAGUGAAACACUCUUUUGUAUACAUAUAUGAUCAAAUAGAUAUCUCGGUCUUAGAAAUGAGGAUACCAUCACUAUCUGCAUACAGCCACUCUCCAUCCUGAAUAACCGCGCCGCCGACGUUCACCGAAACAUGCUUCUCGCCGAGGCCCUUCUUGUUGGACUUCAAGGGGUGCGACCCGAGUGCUCGAACGCCGACGUCGCAGCCAUUGAUCUCGUCGACGUCUCGAAUGCAGCCGUUCACGAGGAUCCCGGCCCACCCCAUGUUCUGAGCCAGCUGCCCCAGGUUGCCGCCGACGAGGGCGCACCGCAUGCUCCCGCCGCCGUCGAUCACCAGCACUCUCCCGUCCCCGGGUGACUCGAGUAGCUCGCGCACCAGAACGUUGUCCUCGAACACUCUGAGAGUGACUAUCGGGCCGCAGAAGGCCCGGCACUGGCCGAACAUCUGGAAGACCGGCUGCAGGACGCGCAGCUCGCCUUUCGCGAUCAGGGCAGGGUUCGCGUCGCAGAGUUCGGCGGUCGCCAGAGAAGCCAUCUGGAAGAGAGAGAAUUGUAAGACCGACUAGCUAGACAUAUAUAGCUCGAAAGACUGUUGUUAUUCGGAUGUUGCUAGAACUAAUUUGUUGCUGAUCUGUUUAACAUCUGGCAAAAUCAGUCAAGGUUUUCAUCGGUGAGACAACUAGACAUGACUCGAAAAACUAUACAAACUGUGUUGUUUCGAAUUCUGUCAAGCACGGACCGUUAUUCGAAUGUCUGAAUCAAUUCGUUGCUGUUCUGUUUAAAAUCUGACACGAUAUAUCAGUCAAGGUUUCCAUCGAUGACGAAAGACGACAUUUUAGUACAGUACAUAUUAUUUCAGAAAGGGUAGAGAUUCAAUGGAGUAAUCAAGAUUAACAUUAUAUAAAUACAAAUAACAGAAAGAAGAAUAAAUGAAAAUAAAACAUGCUGUCACUGCAGAUAUGAAAGGCGAUGCGAAGCUGUUCUAAGUUAAAGCCAACAAAAAAGAAAAAAAAAAAACAAGAAUAAAAUUAGUAAUUUUCCAAAAUUUUAUCGACCUGACGUUGACGCACUCGAUAAGUUUCAAGCCAAUGCGAAAAGCAGACAAUAGCGGAAGUCGAUCGCCAGGAAAGCUGUAAAGGGCGACUGGCAGCGGGUAGAUCAAUCAAUCUACUUUCACAAUUCUUGAGAAAUUAAACUUUGACAGAAGAAUCAAGUUGAGUGAGAGUUGUCUGAAAUUAAGUUAGAGAAUUUCAGACUUAAAUCUGCCAAGAUCCAAAUAAUAGUGUAUGACUGCAGUAAGUUAGUGAAAUUAAACUGGUAAAAAUGAUCGAUCGACAGAAAAAGUAAUUUUCGUCCUACUGAACAGCAAGAAGAAUAGCAUACCGGAAAAAUGGCAGCAUGAAAUGUUAGCAGGGCCAGCCAGAAACAGAUUAAGACACUGCGAUGUCUCGACUCGUAGGCAAGAAUAUAUUGUAUACUCUUUAUGUCUGACAGUGUCAGAUAUCAACAGAUCCUUCUUUUCUUUCCGAUGAUCAACUAAUCGGAAAUACCAAAUCCUAGAUUUCGCCAACAAAUUCGUAGUGUGCCGAAGCUCAAGAAACUAGCUGAAGUAGUACUCGAUUCGUAGUUUUAAGAGUAAGACAUAAUAAACACUUGGAAGCUAUAUACACAGGCAUCAAACUGUACAUCAUACUGAUCGUAACAUAGCCGAUUUUAGUUGGAAAUUUUGUAAGCGUUACGACGAGCGCACAAACAGAAACGAAAAACGGCGAACGCGAAGUAAACAAACCACAAACAAAAAAUAGAAUGAACAGACAAAUUUACGUGAAAAAAUCCUUUGCACAGAAAAACCACCAUUAUGCAAAAAAGGGAAUACAAUGUUCAGAAGAUUACUAUACGCUUCAUCGCGCUUAGGGCAAAAGAAGAGAAGACAAAUUCUUAAUGGAUUCUUCUAAACGGGUAAGAUCACGACAGACAUCCAUUUUUUCUUCACAAUUUAUUUUCCAAAAACAUUUGUUGCACCGCGAAAUUGUCGACGAAUCGGGAGCCCAAAAUCAAAGUCGAUAACCAAAUUUUGAGGCACCUUUAACGGUAAGUAAGUUUUAUACAAUGAUAGAUGAAAUUAUACCAUAAAAAAGUUGUAGAGUUUCAGAUAGUCAGCAAAGCCAAAUAAAUAAACACCCCUUCAAAAAAAAAAAAAGAAAAAAAGUGUGGACUAGCGUAAAUGGAGUAUUGUCUGUAACUACAUAUAAAAGACUCCUAAUUCUGCUCUGCCAACCCCCUUUUUAAACUACCAACAUCUUAAUUUCUUUAUCUUUCUAUGAAUCCAACAUUGAAAAAUAAAUUUCUAUAUAUGUAACUUAAAUUUUUUGGAGAACAACGAUUGUUUCAUAUAAUUUAAUGCAGUAUAUCGCGAUUAUUUGGGACAUGAGGCUCAUUUCUAGUUGUUGAAAAAAAAAAAAAGAAUUAUAGAAGUUUUCAGAGCAUUUAAAAUUCACAACCUUUCAAACAUUUAUUAUGCCUCUAAAUAAAAUAAACCAUCAAUUUAAUGAACAAAAAAAAACAAACAAACAAACAAAAUGAGCAAAUUUCAGAGGAAAAAGGGAACCAUUUUGAGACAUACCCAGAACUGGGGGAUUUGAUGGGUCUGCUUCUUGAGAAUUUCUCCACCUGCAGGUUGAAAAUUCCUGCACCCUUGAAUCUUGAUGUGGUGUGGUGUUGGUGUGGUGUGGUUGGUUUCUGUGCCCAGAAUAGCAGAGAGAGGGGGUUUUGGUGGAGCUUUCUGAAACUGCUUCUUGUGGCAGCUUGUUACAAAAAGCACUUUUGAGGCAGAGAAAAGAGAUCUAAGCCAAAGAAGGAUUAAUUUCACAUUUAUCCCCAAACUUUACUUUAUUUGAUUUUUAGUCCCCUGCCCUUUUCCCCCUUUUUUUGGGCAAUGGGGGUCUAUAAUCUUUAUUAUUUAUUUCGAUCGACGAAAAUUAUUAUCAUGUUACAAAUUUUGACAUUGAUGUGAUAAAUCUUAGUCGUUAUGUUAAAUUUAAUAAAAAUUUUAACAAUAAAAUUUAAUAGUAUUAAAAAAAUGGCGCAUCGUAAUAAAAAUAUCUGAUACAAUAUGAAAAAUAAUUAGGCCAUUGGCCAAAAUAAAAGAAGAUAAAAAAAUGUAUGGAGAACCCCCUCAACUGUAGACUGGCUUGAAUCGGCCGGUUAACUUUUAUUUUACUUUCUAAUAUGUUGGAAUCAAAUGAUUUUGGUCGAAACCAGAUAUUUUUUUUAAAAAAAAUCAUUGCUAAUUUUACCAAAUUUAAUAAUGUUAAUCACUUUUUAAUGGAUAAAAUCAGACCAAGAGUUUUUAAAUUUAAGAAAAGUUUUAAUAUAACUAAGUAUGAAAACUCAAGUCAAAAGAGAAAAUAGAUGUUGAAGGGUCUCAAUCCAAAAAAAAAAAGUUGCUGGGUCCACUUCAAAACGACGCACAGUUGAGGGGGUCUCCAUACAUUUUUACAAAAAAUAAAAGUCAAAAAAAAAAUAAAAAACACACAAAAUUGGUGGGGAGGUUUGACCGGUCAAAUGUGUUAUCCUCUUCAAAUUGCGCAAGCGAGGGAAUCGGAUAGGAUACGGUAGGGAAUGUUUGAAUGUCUUCGGAUAAAUUGUAAGUUUGGUCCUUAAACUAUGAAGAAGUAGCACUUUGGUCCUCUAACCUUAUUUUAUUGCACUUUUUGUCUCGAAUUUUUAGAAUUAUUACAAUCAAAUUUUACAAGCCAGUUUUAUUGAUUAAAUAUUAAUGUAUCAUUAAUGUAGAAAAAUGAAGUAGCAGCGUUAUGAUUGAUAAUGCAGUAAUAAUUAAGAUGCUACAUUUUUUUUAGGGUUAAUUUUAUACAGGUCCCUACAAAUAUAGUGAAUUACAAAUAUAUUCCUACAAAGUUCAACUUUCAUAUGUUGACCCUUCAAAAGUUCUAAAAUUUUUAAAUAUAUUCUUCUGGUUUGUUACCAUUAAAGCAUUGUUUAUUUAUAAGCGAAAUGAUCUUUGUGCCAUCACAAAUAUGUCCCUUAAAAAGUCCUAAUAUUAAUUGGAGAAGGAUAAAAAGAUCAAUUUAUCUCAUUAACUAAUUAGGAUUAAAUAUUUUAUCUAUGACUAACUAAUUUUUUCUAACGGAUCUUAACGACAGAGAUAUAUUUGAAAAUAUUAGGACUUUUACAGGAACAAUAUAUGAAAUUCAACUUUAUAAAAAUAUAUUUGUAAUUUACUAUAUUUGCAGGGACCUGUAUGAAAUUAAUUCUUAUUUUUAUAUCAACGAUGCGUCAAUAUUUUAUCAACUAAAUAGGAUUGUAAGGCUUGAUUAUAACAGUUAUCAAAAUUUGAGUCAGAAAUUAUAAUAAAUUAAAGUUUGAAGAUAAAACGCACACAUUAUUUAGGAAAAACUCCAGAUAGCCUUUCUGUGUUUACUAAUUUUUUGCUUUAGUAUGUUGUGAUAUUAACUGAAUCACUUAAGUAUGUUGUGGUUUCCAUUUUUAUUAUUUUUCUUUACACCCUCCGUUAGCUUCUCCAUUAAAUCCAUCAUGUGCUAUGCAUAUAUGUCGGAGAUAUUACACAAAUGACUGUUUUAAUAGAGAAGUUAACAAAGGGUGUAAUGAAAAACGAAAAUAGAAACGGUAUGGUAUUUGAGUGAUGCAGUUAAAAUCACAUGUACUAAAGCGAGAAAGCGGUAAACCGCACUGCACCAUUGGUCUCAAAUCUUCAUUCGUUUUGUCACUUUGUAACCAACCUUUUUUCGGCUACUAGGUCUCUAAACUUUAUAUUUUGUUUUGGUUGUUUCCCAACCACGCCACACCAUUCAGAUUCCUGUUAAUUUUGACGGAAUAGACCAUCUCACCAAUAAAAUCUUGCUUACUUAUGUAGAUUACUGUCAUGAUUCGAUACCCGCAAAUCAUUCUCGAUUUUUCAUCCAGCUAGGCGUCAAGAGUGCAAAGUGCUCCAAAAGAGGCCGUGAAUAUCGUGUGUGAGGUCGGGGCGGUCGUAGACAUGGAAGACGACAUUGAGAAUGGCGAAAUUGGGCUUGACGCAAUACGUGUGCAAUUGGCAGAAGAGAUUAGGGGCCAGAGUGAAAAAAAAAAGUAAAGGUUGGGGAUUGUGUAAGUAAUUCUGAUGGUUAUGGAUCUGAUUGCAAAAAUUAAAAAGUCGCAGCCCAAACUAAAAAAAUCAGGUAAAAAUUGGGGACCAUUAACCCUAUUAUUUGGGCUAAACUACAAAAAUCCCCCUUACGCUUUGCUACUUGUCUCUAUUAUCACUUUGCAUAAAAUUUUGUCUUAAUUUGAACCAUACAUUUCUGUUCGGAUAUAGAAAUAAAAGAUAUUUAAUAAUAACGUAUUAUAAAUAUUUUUUGUGAUUGGAACAUAGGAUCUUGAUAUUUGCUUCGUAAAAAGUCUCAAUAUCUAAUGAUUUGAUAGGAUAUCAUAUUUCACAUACACCGUAAUUUAUUUUAUUUUAAAAGAAUGAUUUGAAAGUUGUAUAUAAUAUAUCUAUUCUAGAGAAAUCACACUCCUCAUCUGUUACAUACAAUAAGUUAUGGAGUAACCAAUUAUUUCGAAAACACGUGCUGAUAGAAAAAACGCAUUCAUCGUACUUAAGGGCUCAGCGACAGCAUUCACGUGUUUCGACCUUAUUCAACCCAUCUAAACGUUAAUUUUAUUGUUAAGUCUCUUAUUGUUAGGAUUCUUAUGGAUCGUAGCCCCACUCAACUUAGGAGACUCACCCAACUCAACUAUUAGCCGUUUAGACCUAUUAUCACAUGGCAAGAAGUUGGACCUGUUUUAGCCAAUAAUAAAUAGCCAACACAAAUUUCUUGAGUAUAUUAAAAAUAUAUAUUUAGUAUAAUUUUUAUGCAUCCAAAUAGUCCCAACUAUUUAUCAGAAUUUCAAAUAGGUCCAAACAUUUGAAAUAAUUAUUUGAAUUCAUGUCUAAACCAUAGACAAAAUAAUUUGAGAUAUCAUGUUAGUUCCACAAUUAAACAUUGAUGCAAGUUACAGCAGUAAUAGUAUAUCUAAACUUGAAUAAAGAGAUUUUGUUCUUUAAUUAGAGCAAUCAAAAUUGGAUGCUUAGAUGGUAAGUUAUUUAAGGGUUAAUUGCAUAUAGCUUCCUGCAAACAUAUCGAAUAGCAGAUAUAUUCCUACAAAGUUCAACUUUUUAUAUUUAUCCCUAAAAAAGUAUUAAUAUUUUCAAAUACAUCCCUACCGCUAGGAUCCGUCAGAAAAAUAUAGUAACCAUAAGUAAAAUAUUUAACUCUCAUUACUGAAUGAGUUAAAUUAAUCUUUUUACCCCUCUUAUAUUAUUGGAUAAAAUAUUUUUUUGGGAGGAUAUUUUUGUAUAAUUUUAAUAGUUGGGAUUUUUUGAGGGGUAUAUUUGUAAGGUUAAAAAUCUCAUUUCACUUAUCUGCUAUUAAAAAAUAAAUAAUGCUUUAACAGUAACAAAUCAGAGGGCAAAUAUGAAUAUUAUUGAACUUUGUAGUGAUAAGAAUGAAAAGUUGAAUUUUGUAAAGAUAUAUUUACUAUUCGAUAUGUUUACAUAGAGCUGUAUGCAAUUAACCCUUUAUUUAAUAUAAGUGCUUAUGUUUUAUGCAAUCUAAUAGAUGUUACAAGCCAACUAAACUUUAUUAUGAAGUUUCACACCCAAAUUUAGUAAAAGACAAUCUUGGCAUAGACACUUCUUUUCAAAACUUUUUGGAAAAAUUUCAAAUACCAUCCCUGUAGUUUUACACUUUCUCACUUUAGUAUUUUGUGGUUUAAAGUGUAUCAAUUUAGUGUCUUGUGGUUUCAUUUUUAUUUUUUUAUUAUCGGUUUUACUAAUUUUUUUCGUUAAAUUAAUGACAAAAUUAAAAUUAAAGAGUACUAAAGUGAAUAUUCGAUAAACCUAUGUGGGGUAUAUGAAGUUUUUUGUAUAUAAUUUAAUUAAAUAUUAACGAAAAAGCUGAUAAAAAGAUAAAAAAAGAAACCACAUGACACUAACUUGAUACACGUUAAACCACAGAAUACCAAAAUGAGAAAGUGUGAAACCACAGUUAUGGUAUCUGAAGUUUACCCAAACUUUUUCCUCUCAUAGCUCAAAAAUUUGUGCUUUGUCUCACUGUGGUCUAACUUAUUUUUACUUGGACACUUGUGAUUUAAAAGGUUGAACUUAACUAUCUCUUGAUUUAGUGCAUUUUUUCACUUUGCCACUCUCUGAUUUUUUUUGUCAGUUUUUACUAGGCUUUUGUUUUUUGACAUAAAUUUUUUUAGUGAAAUAAAAAUUAAAGGAUAGAAAAAUAAAGUGUAAUUUUUCGAAUCACAGGAUGUUACUGCAGGGCAAUUUGAAGUUUACCUUUGAACCCAAAUAUUUAUAUAUCAAAAGAUACCCUUUUGAGCUCUCUGAUCAUCAAAGAGUUUCCAAUAAAUUUUAUAAAAUUUUAGUUUAAAAAAAAAUAUUAACAUGAUUAGUUUAAUAGUUCCAUCCACCCAAAGACUAGGGAAUAUAUUUUAGACCCUAGUCCAUAUGAAUACUAUUGCUGAAAAAAGAAAGGAUAAAUUGCAUGCUUGGCCCUCAAACUAUGAAGUCGGUGACACAUUGGUCCUCAAAAGCAAGUUCUGUAAUCCGAUUUAGUUGAUUAAAUAUUAAAAAAAUAUUAAUAUACUGUUAAUACAGAAAUGAUAUAGAAAUAUUAUGUUGUAUUGAUAUUUAACCAACAAAAUAAAAUUGUGAGACCUGAUUGCGACAAUUCUAAAAUUUCAAAUUAGAAAUUACAACAAAUUAAUAAGAGCCAAAUGUCACCAGUCCCAUAGUUUGAGGGCUAAUGUACAAUUUAACCAAAAAAAAAAAAAAUCCUAGUCAAUACUGAUGGCUAAGGAACAAUGAAGCAUUUAUUACAUCCACCAAAUUGCACUUCUCCACAAGGAAAGUAGGCAAGGAAAGAGGGCAAAUUGCACAACUAGUCCCCAUACUUUAAGACGUUUUCAUUUUGGCUAUAAAACUUUUAAGUUACCGGCUGUCCCUAGCGCAAGUGGCAAAGGACGUGAUGGUUGGUAUCUGAUAUCCCAAGUUCGAAUCCUAAUUUAUUCAUAUUUCUAGAUAACUUUAUUUUUAAAAAAAUAAUGAAGCCGAUAGCAUACUACCUUUCUCUCAAAAAAAAAAAAAAAACUUUUUAAGUUUGACAUUGGACACUGUAUACUUCCAAAAUUGUGAAAUAAAUAUUGCCUCCAUUUAGAUCAUGUUUGUAUGUCAUAAUAAGUUAUCUAAAAAUAAAUAGAUAUAAACAUUUUCUCAAUUGGUUGCAAGUAAAAAAGUUUUUUUAAUUUCUUAAAAAGUUUUACUAUUCAUGAUUUAGUAGUAUAGGAUAUUUUACUUACGAGAUGAUUUAUAAUAUUUCAUUUUAAAAUAUUUGAUCAAACUAUUUCUUAAAUAAAUCAAGAGAAUAUAAUAAACAAGAUAUUCAUGCAUGUUCUGUGAUCUCUCUUCUAAUGAAAAUCACACCUCUAAUGUUGAUAAAUUACUAAACAAGUUCUAUCAAAACUUUUAACAAGAAAUGUUUGUAUAGACACAAAUGUGUCUGAUAAGCCAACAACUGAUAGGGACAAAAAGAGGGUGCUGAUGAAGAGAAGAAAAGAAGAAAUAAUAAUAAUAAAAAUAGAAAGAGAAAUUUCAACUGAACUUAUUAGAAAAUGUUAAUUUUUUGUUAAUAUUUCUGUGUUCUUCAAAUCCUUCCUAUACCUUCACACAACAGCAAGAUCAGAGCCAUUAGCUCAGCCAAAAAAGAAAAAGAAACAAUAUAUAUAUAUAUAUAUAUAUAUAUAUAUAUAUAUAUAGAGAGAGAGAGAGAGAGAGAGAGAGAGAGAGAGAGAGAGAGAGAGAGAGCGCUAGGCUGGUAUACUAUCGGUAGCACGAAGAUCCGUGUUACUAAGUUAUUUUUAAUGAUGCGGCUUUCAAAUCGACAAUCGGUUCCGUUAGAUUUGAUUUACACUAUUGAAAAUAUUUAAGAAUUAAAUUUCAUAAUUUUUCGAUGGCUAGUGAUUAAAAGGUCUCAAAAUUGACAAUUUUAAUGGUCGAUGUGAUGCGUUUGUGAAUUUAACGGUGUGAAACAAUAUAAAUCUGACAGAAUUUUUAUCGAAAAUUUUUUUUCGCUAUUUAGAGUAAGAUUAGUACCUGAUGCAAACCGAGAGGUUGCCAAAAAUGAAUUUUCAAGUUUGCUUUUGUUUACAGGUAAAACUAGGUUCAAUUUAUCAAUUCCGAUGAACUUUAAGCAAGAAAGCAAAAAUUUCAGCAAAACAAAAAUUAAAAUCGAAUUGAAGUAAUACUAAGAUGAUGAUAAACCUUCAAUGUAUGAGAUAAUAACAACCAACUGAAAAUACAUAUAAUAGUUCCAAAAGGUAAAUUCGACUUUAUCAGACUUAAAGCUUUAGGUUUGGUUGUUUGGCAAAUAUGGUUGGUAAUGGUGGAAGGCUAGAUUAAAAGGGCAUAAUAGGAUGUCAGAAAAUGAGAGAUACAAAAAUACACCGUUCACAAGAUUGCGGGGGAUCCACGAUCGACGAGGAGGGCGGUACACCACGGAUAGAACUUCGGCAACGGGGAAGAAGAAGAUGAGGUAGUGACUCGGAAGAAGAGGAGGGGUAGAAGUAGAAGCCGAUCUUAUCACGAGGAAGAAGCGACAACAAUCAAGUUGAGGAAGAAGACGAUCUCGAUGCGAGGAAGAAGCGUCGAUGAUCUCACCGGGAAGUAGAAUACCAAGGAUAAAGAGUGAGAGUAGAAUUUUCUAUUCAUCCAAAUAUAUCUCCCUUAAGGUCUCAAGAACCAUGUAUUUAUAGUGUUGAGAGCUUUAUGAUAAUAAAUUAUUGCCUUUUCAUUUUCAACACAACACGAUCACCCAAGAGUCAUGCAUUGAAAACGAAGCAAUUUCGAAAAUUUCAAAGGUCUUUGUUUUUGAGAAAUUUCAAAGGUCUUCUUGGGAUUAUUUUUUUGUUUAUGGGAGAAAAGGGUUUGGAUUAGCCAAAUCAACUAAAACCAAAUAAUUUAAGUUCGAAUCAAACACGAACCUACAAAAUAAAAAAAAAUUGCAUUUGAAAAUAAAACGAGAUUUAUUUGCUGCAUCAGUACCUCUGAUCUUAAAUUCAAGUUUUCUAUCAUCAUUUUUUAUAAGAUUUUUAUUUUUAAUCGUUUAUUUUUAGACUACUCGUUUGAUGGGUAAUGACGUCGAAAACUUAUGAAAUUUAGUUUCCAAAUACUUUCAAUAUUAUAGAUCAAGUCUAACGAAGUCGAUCAUUGAUUUGGAAGCUGUAUCAUUGAAAACAACUUGAUAGCACAGAGGCCUCCGUGCUACCGAUAAUAUACCAGUCGGAUUCUCUAUAUAUAUAAAAGGAAAAUAAAAAAAGGAAGAGAAUUGUGUGGAUAUAAUUUUCAUACUUGGGGCCUAUUUGUUUCACCGAAGGUGAAGUUGAAAUAGACUUCCGGGUAAACUAAAAUUCAAAUAAAAAUUACUUCAAUUUUGUUGUUUGUUUGUAUAGUCGUUGAACUAAAAUUUUUCCAAUUCUACUAUUUGUUUAGUAAAAAGUAAAUAACAUAAAAACUAGAAGUGUGAGAGAUAGUUAAUAUUUUUAUCACUUUUUUUUUCUUACUAAUUGACAUCGAUUUUGAGUGGACCGAAAUCAAUUACUAUAUUUUGGAAAAAUUGAGUUUCAACCAAAGGUGAAGUUACGAUAAACUAAACAACGAAAGUGACAUUUACGAUCAAAAAUCAUUUCACACCUCUCCACUUUUGAUAAAACAAACACACCUUUAGGGCUUGUUUGUUUAGGUGAAAAUGGAUAGAGGUGAAGUCGUUUUCGACCGUAAAUGAUCAUUUCUGCUGUUUGGUUCGCUGUAAUAAAGAUUCUGUUGAAACUCGAGUUAUCUGAAACAGCGUAAUUAACGUCGGUCCACUCUGCACCGAAGUCAAUUACGGUGGAGAGAGGUGAAAGAAAAAAAACAAAAUAAUACAAUAGGCAAUACUAGUUAUAUUUAAAUAUAUUUAAUUAUAGUACUAAUUACUUUUUUAUUUAGUUCGCAUAUUUAAAAUAUAAUAAAAGUUGAUUAGUUAAAUUUUAGUAUUUUCUUCAUUUAGUUUUUAGUUAUGUAUUGAUAUUUUUCUUUACUUUAUAAUUUUAUUGUUGUAUUAUUAUGAUUUAUGUAUAAAACAAUAAUUUAAUUAUUUUAUAUUAAAUUUUUUAAUUAUAUAGAAAUAUAAUUAUAUUAUUUUUAUUUAUUACAUUAUAAUUUUAUAUUAUUCACUUCCUGCGAAACAAACGGCAGGGCUGAGAAACUUUAUUUCCAUAACAAUGAAAGCAAAUAGCAGAAAAAAAAUAGUUUUUUAUCUGAACUCCAUUUCAACCCAAGGUCCAGUUUCGGUGAAACAAACAAGCCCUUAUAGUCAUCCAAUAGAUGACAAGAAGAAGCUGAAAAUAUACAAAGACCCCCUCAACUAUAGGCCAAUUCGCAAAAGGCCUCCCCAAGUUUUUUUCUUUUUCGUUUUUUUCUGUUUUUUUUUUAUCGAAACUCCUCAUCAACUUCGGCUUGUUUCGAUUUGAAUUGUUUCGUCAAUUAAUUGGGGAUUCUGUAAAAAUUGAUAAUGAUUUUCUGCCUUUUCUUUCGAAUCGUCAAAGAAGUUUUUGUUAAUUCACCAGAAUCCCCAGCUCAGCCGGAACCAACUCAAAAUGAAGCAAGAGAAAGUUGAGGUGCUGUCAAUUACAGGAAAAAAAAGGAGAGGUAAGAAAGGUGCUUACUUCAAAAUGGUCUGUAGUUGAGGAAGUCUGCACUCUCCACAAGCAACUUGAACUAUUCAGCAACAAGUAGCAGAUUAUGGUCGAACCCUGCCGCCGCUUGCAAAACCUGAAACCCUUCUAAACACUCUAAAAGCGCAGGCUCCACCUCGUCCGUCGAGCUCCCCAGCCCUAGCCGGCCGUUCCGGCCCGACCCCCACACCCACACUUCACCCUUUGAAGUUAGAGCAAUCGAAUGAACCCGGCCCGCCGACACAGCAAUUGGAUCUUCUCCACUCAGGCCCUCGACUAAUAGUGGAAUGCCUUCUUGGCCCUGUCGACCGAGCUGAGAACUUCGAUUCCAUCCCCAGGAAAGAACUGCAUUGGAUUCGUUUUCAUGCUCAGAUUCCGUCUUGCAUAAAAGUAAAGAGUGGCCAAGGCCUGCUGAUACUGAGAGGGGUUUAAAGUUGAAGUUUGUUUCGACGGGGAGCAACUUUGAUCCUUCAGUUGUACGGCCCAACUGGCCGUAUGUAUUGUCUCCGCAGCUCAAAAGAGUUCCAUCACCUGAAAUUAUAUGAAAGCACUUCAGGGAAAAAAUAAAUUGUGUAAGAUACUCCUGUGCAUAAACUAUAAAUACAAAUACGUCAAACAAAAUUUGGAACAGCUUAGUGCUCAUAUGCCACUAUUUGUUUUUUCCGUUCUUUCGCGCAAAAGCUCGACACGAUUGAAGGCAUUUAGAUAUGAUUUUCUCUAAUUUUUAAUAUUGCUAAAUUGUUUGCCAGCUCUGUAUACAGGUUUUUGUUUGCCAGAAAAGAAAAAAGAAAGGUGGAAGCAACCUUCGUUUGUUUCUAAUCUCUGACAAAAAUGGCGAAUUUGCAAUUUGCAAAUUAAGCAACAACAACACCUUAUUUAGUUUCUUUUUCUUAAAUAAAAAAACACAUAAACAAUGCCAAACAUGCACCUAAUGAUUAAAAAAAAAAACAAAAAGAACUUCACAGCUAAAGAAGACGACCUUUACUAAUAACCAAAUUUAAUUGCUCGUUCGGUCCAGGCGAAGCCGGGGUUGCUAAUACAAGAAGUGACAAUUAGCAAUAACUAUGAAAGGGAUGAAAGGAAAUUGGAGAAUAAAAAAGGAUGCUAAGAUUCAUGAUGGAGAAAAGGACAAUGUUAUUUAAAAAAAGAGUGGGAAAUUUCUUGCAAGUGAAUACUCACAGCAUAGAACAAGAGAAUGGUCGAGCCCACAAGAUACAUCGGACACGUUAAUAUCACUCAGUUCCCGAAUGAGAGAUGGUUCCCAGAUGAUAGGCAUGUUAUCCUCUCUCUCUAUUCUUUCCGCGACAAGUUCCUCAGCAAUUUCUAGCAUAGACUUGGAUUUGUCCCUGUGUUUGUCCAAAUCAGGUGGUUGCUUAGAAGUUGCAUCAAAUAUUUGCCCCAUUUGUCCUAACCUCCCAUCUUCUGAAUAACCCCAGCCAAAUAUUUUUCCGUCCUUAGUCAACGCAAAUGCAUGUCCCCAUCCGAAUGAGACCUGCCACAAGGAUAAACACAUGUUCAUGGCUUCGUGUAAAUGUCAAAUUUAAGAAUUCAUGCAAUUGAAGUAUGACAUAACUUCUGAGAGGCAGCAAAAAAUAAGUGUACAACCUUAAUUGAUGAAUGACCAACCUGCAAUUGAAGAAACAGGAAUAACUCUGUCACUUGCACAAUCAAAAUACAUACAGCUAGUUUCAAUUUUAACAAUUUAGAGUCAAAUGUAUGAUCCACUAAAUAACCAAGCGCUUUCAUUAGUUUACUGUUUGAAGAAGCCGUGUCAGCAUUGUUCGCUGCUAGCUCCAAUUUCAAGAAUCUGCCAUGUAAGCAAACACCAACAAUCUGGCGUCUUAUUUCAGACAGAUUGACUAACAAGGCUUAAUUCUUCUGGAAAAACAAGCAUACAGAGACUAAUUAUCCAGGUUGAAACUCUGAUGCCUCGACCAAAUUUUGGGCCAAAUUUCAAGAACUAAUUUGUAAUUAACCCUUUCUAGUACCACACACAUAUUCUAAUACUUUUAACACAUUGAUUUCAAACUUUUUGUUACUCCUGAUUCAAGUUCCAUUCCAAAGAACUCAAGCAAGGGAUGGUGAAUAAUGAUUCCUUUUCUGUUGUCAUUGGAAAUAAGAGUAGUUUCUUUUCUAAGAAAAGCAUCAACACCUUAACUACAUCAUGCCCUGCAAGUGCCUCUACUCUACAAGGUUUUGUAGCUUCUGUUAUUUCUCUGCCAAGACCAAGUUGGCCGCGCUUGGAUCUUCCCCAUACCCACAAAGAACCAUCAUCACCAAUAGCGGCAGAAACAACACCUGAUGCAGCAGCAGCCCGAACUUUCACGUUAUCCAAUCCUACGACCCUUUGAGGAAUGCUCCAUGUUUCUCUGUAAUGGCAAAAUGAAGCCCAUUUACACAUUUAGCUACUGUACCGUAACAAAGAGAUAUUAACGCCAUCUGUAUGACAUAAUAUCCAUUUAAAGCCCAAGCUUGCAUAGCCUUUUUAGCUUCUGAGAGCAAGCUAAAAAUGCAGGCAGAGCAACUUGGCCUUAUUUAUUACAGUUUGUAAAAUUAGUAACAGAGCAAUUCAUGUACUGGCAAAGCAAGCUUCCUGUAGGAUUUGUAAGUUUUAUUUUUAAAGUAGGUUUUGCCCAAUUGAUAAUCCCUUUGGUAAAACUAAGUACUGCUCACUUUAUGGAUGCUAUUAAGUUGUUAACCAAGUCAUGCAGCAGUAAUAUGUAGUAGCAUGACUAAUGUGUAUUUUGAAAUUGACCUUGACUUCAAAUUGACAGUAAUAGGUUCAUCCUGGGUUUAUAAGCUACUACAGCAAACAAUCUUCUGCAUCUCCAAGAAAACGUGGAGCUUCUGCAGUAGCGGAAACCAGAAAUGCAAUUGUGUCUUGAAGCAGAAUUUCCAUUUUGAUGAAUUUGAUUCUGCUGAAGAAAAAAACUGGUAGAGGUAUAUUAAAAUAGUGCUUCUCCUAAUAGCACUGUACAAGUAAACACUUCACCAAACAACACUACAUCUUAAAGCAAAGCCGGACAGGCCCUAACAUUAAAAGAUUGCAAAUUAUAUCAUUUUUGCUAGUGAACACUUUAAAAUAAACUUUCUUUUCUUUAAUAAAAUGACCACUCUACCCUCAAGGAAAGUUUUUUUAUAAUUUUUACGAAAGAAAAAAAGAUCUCAGAAUCAUCCGAACUUCACAUAAUUUACAAUUCACUGUGUAAACUUUAUAACAUUGAAAUUUACUGCCUCAACAAUAAUUCCAUUGCAGUCCAGCACAAAACCCUCAUUUCCGUUUAUUUAGUCAAAUGCCCUUUAUGUGAGACCCCAAGUAGUCCUAUAUAUAAGAUAUAAUAGGGCUAAAACUCUUAAUCUGGCUAUAGCAUUUUAGGAGGUGGUUAGGCCCAAGAGGUUAAGAGGAUUAAGCGUGCAAGACUUAGAAUUGCUCUAGGAUGAGUGACCCUCUGGGAAGUGGGACAUCACAGUUGGUAUCAGAGCCAAUUACCAACCGAAAAGUAUGAGAUGAGUCUCGGCUGAGCAAAGUUAUGUAGCAGGGAGAGCGUGACUCUUAUGCUGAUGACUGUUGUAGGUAGAGCGCGGCCCUCCCACAAGGUCGGUUAAGGCUAACAAGACAAGUCUCACAUCGCUUGGUACUUGUGAGUCUGAGCUUGAAGAGGACGUCAGGGUUUAAAGAGGAAAAAAUGUGAGACCCCAAGUAGUCCUAUAUAUAAGAUAUAAUAAGACUAAAACUCUUAAUCCGGCUAUAGAAUUUUAGGCGGUGAUUAGGACCAAGAGGUUAAGAGGGUUAAGCGUGCUAGAUCUAGAGUAGCUCUAGGAUAGGUGGCCCCCUGGGAAGUGGGUGUCACACUUUAGUUACAUAAUCAUAUGAGAUGAUUCAAAUUUCUGAGUGAAUGAUCAGCUUGGCAAUUCAUGUGUUCGGCAAAGUGGUUAAUUUUCCUAACAAAUGCCUUGCCAAUUUGACAAAAACGAGGGUUUUUUAACGAAUUACAAUAGAAUCAUAAUUUGGGUGGUAAAUUGCACACUUUUUAAAGUUCAGAUUGCGAAUUGCAAAUUGAGCAAGUUUAGGUGGUUGUGAGGCUUCCUUUCCGGGUAAACUUAAAUUUACCCCUCGUGGGUUAAAAAAAUAACAAUCAAAACAUCCUAUCAUUUUAUUUUUGUUUUCUUUUAAGAUCUUACAGUAAAAUAGAAUAGCAAAAUGAUACUUUUUGCGAACCACAAUAUAGCAUUUCAGCAUCCUACAAUCUAUACUUUAUCCCUAGUUUGCAAAAAAAGCAUCACUUCGCUAUCCUAUAUAACUGUAGGCUCUUAUCGUGAAACAAAAUACACUAAGGCCCUGUCUGCAUAUCAUAAUAAGAUAUCCAAUGAUAACUUAUUCGGUAUAAAAGUUUUCUAAUACGAUUGGAAGUUAGGAGUUUGAUUUUUGCUCCUUGAAAGGUCUUGCCAUCUAUGACUUGGUAGGAUACCAUAUUUCACCUACGAGGUAAUUUAUCUUAUUCUGAAAAAAUGACUUGUAAGCCGAAUAUCAUAUCCAUUCUAGGCGUUUGAUGACACUACGUAUUGACCAAAUACUAUAUGCUUCUUCAGUGAGACCCUAUUUGGAUGUCAGAAUAAGUUACCAUUGGACAACUUAUUCGGUAUGAAAAUUUUCUUAUGUGAAUGGAACCAAGAAGUUUGAUUUUUGCUCCUCAAAAGGUCUUGAUAUUCAUAAUAGAUAGGAUAUCAUAUUUCACUUGCAAGGUGAUUCAUGUUAUUUCGAGAAAAAUAACUUGAAAGUCGAAUAUGGUAUCCAUUCGAGACAUCUGAUCAUAUUCCUUGUCUACUGAAAACUAUAUGCUUUUUGAUUAAAUCAAAGUGAUAUAGGCCUUGUUCGGAUGUUGGAAUAAGCUAUCCAGUGAUAUCCUAUUCUGUACGAGAUUUUCCAUUGUGAUUGGAAGCUAGAAAUGUAGUCAAACGUUCAAAAUGGAACAACAUAUUCGGCCUUCCAGCCAAUUUUUUAAGAAUAAGAUAAAUAACCUUGCAGGUGAAAUAAGUGAUCCUAUAAAUCAUGAAUGCCAAGACCUUUUAAGAAGCAAAAAAUCAAACUCCUUGCUUCCAACCAUACAAGAAAACCUCCAUACUGAACAAGUUAUCAUUGGACAACUUACUCUGACAUCUGAACAAGGCUAAUAGUGUUUAAAAAAGCGCGCCUAGGUGCUAAGCUCAUCAGCUAGCGCCUAGGCAAGCGUGCCUAGAGCUAGGCGCAAGGCACGGUCAAGGCGCGCCUUCUUCAUAUCUAUCCUAACGGUUUGGAUUUAGAUCUAUAUAUGCCCUAAUGGGUUUGGAUCCAUAUAUUUAUUGGUCUAAUGGGUUGAAACAUCUAAAACUAGAUCCGAAAUCCUAAACUAACAUAAUCUAAGACCCUAAACAAUCAUCAAAUGACAAAGCUAACGAAGGAGAGGAGCAUUCUUCAUCAAGUGAUGAGGAUGAUAAUUGACGAUUGAUGAUUGAAGAAUAAGGACUAAUUAACAUUUCUAGUGUGACGUAUUUUGACUUGGGACUCUUGAAUACUUAGCUUUCAUAUGACGCCCUUUUAAUGAUCUUCGGCUUGAAACUUUAAACUUUAAACUUUUAUGCAUAUUACUUUUUUAUGAUCUUGUACUUGUAAUUAUGUGUGUUUCAAAUCAAAGUUUCCUACAUUUUUGUUAAUUAUUAGUUAUCUUUAUACUAGCAUUUAUUUGGAGACAGAAUGGUAAUUUGUUCUUUACUUUUAUCUGUCUAAAAAGUUAUCAUAUACGUUGGUUGGCUUCUUUUCUUUUCUUCAUUUCUUUUCUGUCGAAAACGUGGCUAUUUUGGUUAGUUAUAGAAUAUCUAUUGUGAUAAUAUGAUUUUAAAGAGUAUCUUUCCUAUCAUGCUUUUCUACCUUCGUAUCAUAUCUUUCCAAUCCCUGCAAUCCCAAGCAGAGUAUAAUCUGCUUAACAGUAAAUUGCAAAUUGGGCAAAGUUGAGAGGGAUCUGAGGCUUUUUUUGGGGGCUAAAUCAGCAUAACUUGUUAUAAUUUCUGGCUCAAAAUUUCUAAACUAUUGUAAUCUAAGUCCCAAACCCAAAGACUAAUUCAAAUUUAGUUGAGUAAAUACCAAUAUGUCGAGAAUGUUACGAUUGACGAUGCAACAAUAACUAAAAUGUUGUCACAUCGAUCAUCUCACGAGCUAAAUUAGAAUUACAUUGUGGGGCGACAAUUCGGAAAAGUUGGAGCACGGAGAGGGAAAGAAGGGACCUGAGGGAGGGGCGGCCGAGCUGGGACUCGGCGUUGCGGCCCCAGGACCAGAGGUGGCCGUCGGCGGCGAUGGCGAGGGAGUGGUAGUGGCCGACGGCGAGGGAGGCGAUCGCAAAGGAGGGGAGGGAGGGGACUCUGAGGGGCUCGUAGGCGUCGACGAGCGGGGGGAGCCCCCCCACGGCGCCAUUGCUGUUGUCGCCGAAGCUCCACACGGAGCCCACCGCCGAGGUUGCGAAGCUGCGGAGGAGACGAUGGAGAUGGAGAUGGAGAUGGAGAUGGAGACGAUGGAGAUGGUGGAGGGAGGAGGAGGAGGAGGUUGCUCCUCUCGGGAACGGUGGCAUUGGAGAGGAGGAGAGGAAGAGGGAGAGGGAGAGGGAGAGGGAGUUGGAGAUGGAGCAAUGAAGCAAGCAAAGGGCAUUUUUUGCGUUUAGCCCCUCUCAAAAAAAAAUUUACAAGGGACCCCUAAUAAAUUUAUAUUUGCACAUACGGCGCUAUGCUUGCCACGCCAGCACCACGUUUGUAUUUUUAAGUUAAGCAUGGUGAUUGAAUUAUUGUGUUCAUAUUUACACUCUAAUCCCUCUUUUUCUACUUGAACGAAAAAAAUACAAAAGAGAACAUGGUGAUGCAAUCAUCGUGUUUAAUCGUAUUCAAGCGCUCGCAUGAUAAGAAGAGAAAUAUUUAUUCAAAUGUAAAUUUGUUAGGAUUAUUUGUUAAAAAAUUUUGAUAGGGGUAAAUGCAAAAAACCCUCGCAAAGCAAAUAUAGUAGGGUUGCAAAACGGAUGUAAAUGGAUCCGGGUUGAUGGACUUUCGGCCCCGAUUCACGCCCCGAAUGAGAUCGCAAGUUGAAAGACGAAGAUUAAUAAAAAAAAUAAUGGGUAAAAUUUAGAAAAUUUUGAUGUAAAUACUUUUUUUAUUCACUUUUUUAUUUGAAUUUUAAAAAUUUAUAUUUUACUUCCUCAAAAUUUCAAGCUUAUGCCUUUAGCUCCCAUUCCUCAGGGUUUCGUUCACUCUUUUGUUUGUUUUUUAUAAUUUUUAUCAAAAAUACUCUUAAAAAUAAUAGAAAUAUAUUAAAAAAAUUUUGAAAAAAAUAUAAUUUGGUCAUUUCGCCUCUCCAUUAACGUUGUAAUCCACUGAGAAGAAAAAUAAUUUUAACAAAAUUGAUUUGGUUUGGAGAAUCAAUUUUAGUUAAAACCUGUUGAGCGUUUAACUAAGUUUAGAUGAAAAGUGAUUUUCUGAAGGGAUAUGUAAACAUGUUUGGCAAAAUCUUUUUAAUGUUGGCAUAUAAUAAUAAUUUUUUACUAAAUUCUUUUUAAAAAAUUUAAAAUUCGAAUUAAAAUUUUAAAUAUUAAAUUUUAGAUUUGCACAAAAUUUAAAUUUUGAUAUUUUAAUUUAAAAUUUAAAUUUAAAUUUGAAAAUUUAAAAUUCCAGUUUCAAAUUUAAAAUUAAAUUUGAAAUUUAAAAUGUAAUAUUUGAAUAUUUGAAAUUUAAAAUUUGAACAUUAAAAAUUUAAAAUUAACAAUUUAAAAUUUAAAAUAUAAAAUAUAAAAUAUAAAUUUUCAAAAUUUGAAGUUAGUAGUUAGAAAACAAAAACUUAUCAUUUUAAAUUUUAAAUUUAAUAUAUAAAUUUUGAUAUUAAAUUUAUAGUUUGAAAUUUAAAGUUUUAAGAAUAAAUUUAAAUUUUUUUAAAUUAAAAUUUUAAUUUUAAUUAAAAUUUGAGACUAAAUCAAAAUAAAAAUUUGAAUUUUGGCUCCAAAAUCAAAAUCGGAUUUCAAAAAGUAGGUUUUAGUUUUCUGAUUUUGAACCUCACAUAUUAGAAAAUUGAUUUUAAAAAUCAAAAUCAAAAUUUGAAAACGAGACCGCCUAAUGCUCUAUUGAGUCGAAAAUUACUUUAGAGUCCAAAAUUACUUUUCGAAAGGCAGACCAAACACCCAAUUUGUGAACUAAGAUACGAAGAUCUAGUCCCGGUCUAAUUUUGGAAACCAAUUUGGGAUGGGAGUUUUAGACGACUAGGCUUAUAGAAUUUUUUUAUUUUAACAGUAAGUAUUUGAUAUUUUUAUUUGUAAAAAAAUAGGUCUAAGCAGUUUAUUUCUUUCGGAUCAUAUCAUACACGGUGAAUAAAGUAAUGACGAUGCUUUUCCAAAAAAAAAAAAAAAAAAAAAAAAACCUAAAACUGUGGUGCAUCGUGCACCAGGUGCAUGCAAUAAUUUCUAGCUCGACGGCUCUGUAGCGAGAAAAGGUUCGCGCUCGCCCCACGAAAAAGCCUCCUCUCUUCCUCGCAAACACCCCAAACCACAGCUAGCGACGUUAAUGGCGGCCGAAUCCCCGAUCCAAACCCUAAUCCUAACCCUAACCCUAACCCUAACCCUAGGAAGCGUCGGUGGAGGAGGAUCACGAGCAGGAGGAGAUGGAUCGAUGGAGAAGACGAAGAAAAAGAGGAGGAGGAGAAGGAUCGAUGGAGCAAUGGCGCAGAGCGAUCCGAGUCGGAGAGCGAAAUCCUAAUCCUAAUCCUAAUCCUAAUCCCGGAGGAGAGGCGGACGCGGAUUUGCGGAUUUGUAAUUCAGUUUAAUUCUUGAUUCCUAAUGCAAUUAGAAUUGCAAUUCAAAAUAGAAUUUUCUUUUAUUUGAUUACACUGAUUAAAUCCUAGUAGGAUUAGAAUUAUAUGGAAAUAUAUAUUAUAAAUCCCCUCUUUCUCUCUCCCACACUCCCAAACUCUAGUUUACACUAACGCGCGCUCUCACACACACAAUCACACAAGCGCGUUUUUUUCUUGAUAACAUGACCGAGGACGAGAGAAAAAACCUGGUGGAGAGAGUGGUUUCCGGCAUUCGGAGCGGCAGCAGCGGCGCUGGUGAGCCCUCUUCAUCCGCCGCUUCGUCCUUUAUCGCUGUUGCUGGAGAUGAGACGACAGCGGCAGCGUGCUGUAUCUGCAAUAAAGCAUUCAAGACGGAGAAGGCGCUGUGCGGGCACAUGCGGACCCACCCGAGGUCAUGGAAAGGAGUGAAGCCACCCCCCGCGGCAGCACCGGCAGAACAGCAAGAAGGUCGUGAUGUUCGAGAAUCGGCUGCAGCAGAACAGAGAAUCCCUGUUCAAGAAUUGGUUCGGGUCAAUCAGCGCGCCGAGGAUGUGAAUCCGAGGAAAUUGGAAUCUGUUGUGAAUCAACUCUUGGUUCUUGCGGAAGAGUCACCUCAGUGGUGGCCGCAAGGUGAUGAUGGUGGUAUCAGUGAGAAUAACAUCACUAGCGACAGUAGUACUGCUGGUGGCGGCGGCGGCGGCAAUGGGGAAGUUAUCAUGAAAGACGGGUUCAAUGAACCAGCGAGCAUCAGCGUCGUCGCUGCAGGGCGGUGGGCGCGAACAUCGCUGCGCACAAUGGAACAGUGCCUAACGUGGAAAAGGGAACGAGCUCGAAAAAGAAGGGAAGCAGUAGCAGCUCUGCCGCAGGUGGCAGCGGUGCCCACACAUGCGAGAAGUGCGGGAGGACGUUCGCGACGGGGCAAUCGCUCGGUGGCCACAUGAGGAAGCACUACGAGGGCCCGCUGAUUAUUACAAACAAGAAAAGAACUCGCGAGCAGCGAGAGGAAACGCCCGCCCCGACAGUUGAGCGCAGAGUUUGUGAACCGGCCGUGCCAACUGCGCCUUUGGAAUCGUAUAAUCCUGCGCUCCGGUCGCAAUCCGUGCAAGCGAGCGACGGUGGUGAUUGUGAGAGGAAUAGAGAAGAACCUGAGAGGUUGUCGGCAGGCAACGGAGCCCGCCGUCUGCACAACUUCUUCCCUAAUGUGCUGGCAGAGCCAGAGGAGGAGCCUAAGAACGCGCCGCAGCCGGAACCGGAGAGGAAAGACGAUGACGGUGAUGAUGAUGAAUUGCUCUCCUUGCGACUUGGUCGGAGAUGUAGUGGUGUUUAAUUCUUUUUGUUUCUUUCUAUUAUUAUUUUUCUUCUUUUUUUGUUGCUCUGAAGAUCUCAUUUGGGAUAGUACAGCCCUUCAAUUCUUUGUAGUUCCUCAGAAGUUGAGACAAAUAAAGAAUGUUUACUGUUGAGUCACUUAGCAUCUGUAUUUGUUGCUUCACUUAAGUCAUUUUGGUCUUUUGGAUAAGUUGUGAUGAUGCGCAAAUAAUUAACUUCAAAUCCUCAGUUUUAACCUCUGAUUCUGCUUAGUUGCUAUUUUAAUCGCCGUAAACCUCGUGGAUAAAUUCUAACUAAACUAACUCUGUACUUAACAAUUACAUCAUGCAAAAAUGUUGCAUGCCGUAAUUGAUCAAUGAUUCUUGAUGCUUCACCAUGGUCUUUGGCUAUCUUAUGAUACUACUGUGCAGUAGUUGGUGUUACUUUAUUAUUAUAGUUUUACCUUCUAAGCUGCUUAGUAUGCAUGUCAAUGCCUCUCAAAACCUGGUGAUUUUGUUUAACUGUUGCACAAAGGAAUCACUCCUCCCUCCUGUGUUUUUGGUUAUAACAAAAUCUAAUUACAGAGAUAUUCUACAUGUCUAUGUUUUGAUGAUCAGCUCUUUUUUUUUUUUUUUUUUCCGAUUUUACGUUCUCAAAUUUGGAGGUAGCAUGUCUUGCGAAAUAUUUCAAACGUAACUGUUGGAUUGGUCAAAAUGUAUAAAACAAACUUAUCUGAAUCAUAGGCCAUUUUGAUUCGACUGCUCGACAUAUCGAAGCUUUGAUUUUAGUACCCAACCUCUCAAUUUGUUUGAUUUAAAUUAUUUGACGGCUUUCUUAAUGAACUUAUAUUUGCAUGAAUUGUAUAGAAUAUGCUACUGAUGUGCGUAUAUUCAAAUUUUGAUAGUAAAGAAUCAUUAACUAGCUCAAAUUAAAUAAAUUAAAAUGUUACGUAACAAAAAAAAAAAAAUCUAAAAAUUAGGCAGUCAGAUCAUCAGAUCAAAAUGGGUGAUUAUUGAGGAAAGUUCUGCAUAUUUUUACUUCAUGAUUUUACGUUUCCAUUGUGUUUUUUUUUUUAAAAAAAAAACAUUAGUUUUCUUAAGUUUCUCGACUAGCAAUGUUCUCUUGCUCAUGACUAUCACUAGAAUUGCUAGAGCUCUGCUUGAACUUUGUCUUAUUGCAAAAACCAAAAGAAUAACAACUGUUGCGUAUUUUACCUUAUAUAUAUAAUAUUAUAUAUAGUCCGGCUCUAUUACUAUUUUAUUACAAGUCUUGGUUUACUAUGAACGUUUUCUAAAUUAAUGAUUACUUUGUAUUCCACCGUUAGAUUAUACUAUUUAACCUAUACCACUAACGCUAGGGACAACUAUACAUCUAACCGCAAUUUUCAUCAACGGCCGAAAAUCGUAUAUACCAAGGGCUUGGUAGCUAGGAUAGGUAUAGUAGCUAGAUUAUAUUUAUAUAUUAUAAUAUAUAUAUAUAUCUAUAUAUAUAUAAUAUAUGUAUAGAGUUGAUGCUGAUACUUCUCGAUAGUAAACGGGGCAGUUUACUAGAUCGAGUUGUUUUCGAUGUAGAGCUUCCAAUGCACGAUCGGUUCGUUAAAUGAUGAUUCUAAACACAUCUUAAAUAUACAUAGAAAUCAAAUGUUCGAAUGCAAUUUCGAUAUUACUUCUUUUAUCCAGUCUAGUGAACAAAAAUGAAUGGACUGAAAAUGAAUAUUCUUUAAAAAUGAUGAUAGAGUCUUGGUAAUCACGAUCAAGAGUAUAGAUUUUCUUGUUUUUAAAUGUUUUAAAGAAUUAUAUAACAAAAUUCCAUUGAUUUGGAUAUCUUUACACGUAUUAACGAGGGAAAGUUCUUACUCCCCACCAUUAAAAAUUAUAAAUUUGAAAACUGGGAUCAUUAGGACCAAAUGAUGUCGAAAAAGAUUUGAAAUUUGGAUUUCUAAACACUCAAGUGGUAGUAGAUCAUGUGAUCAAUGGGAGCGCGUGUCAAUUUGGAAGCUUCUAUUCAUCGAAAAUACCAUAGUUAAAAUGCACCAGUUUAACUAUCGAGAGUAUUCAUAGUCAACUCGUAUAUAUAUAUAUAGAGUACCAGCUAUGAUUACUGUAAAGUACAAGAAUUUUGGCUUCUAUUACUAAGUUUUUUACGUAGAUAUAUAACUCCUCGGAUCAUUCAACAUAUAGAUCUAUUUAUUCAAACACCCACUCAACCUAGGGGGGCCCAAUAUCCUACUGGGGGCCAAUUAUUUUAAUUUUAAUGGCCCUAAAAAAAAAUCUAUAACACAAUAACUUUUGGUACUUUUCAAAGCAUAGGAGGUCCAUUAUAGUUAUAUAUAUAUAUAUUAUAUACCUAUAUAUAUAUAUAUAUUUAUUAUCUUAAUUAUAUAGAGUCCGGCUAUAUACUUUAGUGAGCAGUCGAUUCGGAAGUUCAUCAUCAAAAAUAACUUAUUGAAUUACGGAAGGGCCCAAAAUCAUAAGAGUGUAGUUAGCCAUACUAUUAUACAUUAUUAUUAUUAUAAUUAGGACUGGAUACUAUUUAAUAUGUAAAAAAGCUCUUUUUUUCUAUCAAGUUUUUAACCCUUGGAUGAAAAAUUGUAGGGCUCGGGAUGAUAUAGUGAGUUAGAGGUUGAAUGGUCCCCUAGAGAUUGAGCAGGUCGCUCACUGGGUAUAGUAAUUUAUCCAAUGGUUAGAAUAUGAAAGAGUUUAGAUACCAAAAGCUAAAAAACUUGGUUAGCACAAUAGAUUUUGCUACUAAUAGUAGCCAGUUUCCAACUCUCUCUCUCUCUCUCUCUUUUCUCUAUUUCUCUUCUCUCUCUUAUAUAUAUUAAAUUUUAUAUUUAUAAUGUAGGUUUACUAUGUAUCGGAGAUAGAGAAUCUAAUGCUUCCAACUUAUUAUUACAUUGGAUCAAAAAAUUAUAUGGUUCGUGAUGAAUUUCGGAUCCCCCCAGAGUUUUAUGGGGUGUGUACUCCACGUAUCCCACGAUAAUGUAUAAUUCCAAAGGUUUAGAAUGGAAUUUAAAGAGGUUGAUUUAAAAGGCCAAAAACGGAAGACUAUCCUCUAUGAUUUUUGAUAGCAUAGUAGCUCUAUAUAAUAAUAUAUAUUUACCUUUAUUACUAUAUUAUAUGUCCGGCUACUUACUAUUAUUUUACCAAGUCUCUGGUACUAUUAUUUUCUCCAUUUAGAUUACAUUUGAUCUUUCCACCGUGUAGGAUAUAUUAUUAAACAAUCCAUUAAACUAGGGACCAUAUCAUCAUAUCGCAAUCCUUAGAUCAACGGCCGAAACUCUAUAAGUACAAGGUUUGGUUAUGAUGUAUAGUAGAUAAUCUAGUAAUAUAUAUUAUAUUAUAUUAUAUAUAUAUAUAUAUAUAGAGUUGAGCUAGAAUAUUAUCGGUAGUAAACUAGCCGUUUUACUACCGAUUUGUUUUCGAUGAUAGAGCUUCCAAAUUGACGAUCGGCUCCGUUAAAUAUGAUCUAAAACAUUUAAACUACCUAGAAAUCAAAUUUCACGCACUUUCGAUAUUGUUUUUUUAUCCAUCAAGUGAACAGAAAAAUAAAUGGCUGAAAAUGAAUACUCUUUAAAAAAUGAUGAUAGGAGUCUUGUAAUCAAGAUCAAGAGUAUAGAUCUUGUUUUAAAUAGUUUAAAAAAUUUUCUAACAAAAAUUCAAUUGAUUUGUAUAUCCUUACGCUGUUAAACGAGAAAACGCUUCUUAUCGACCAUUAAAAUUACAAAUUUUGAAACUCUUUGAUCAUUAGGCAAAUGAUGUCGAAAAGAUUUGAAAUUUGAUUUCUAAACAUUUCAAGUGGUAUAGAUCAUAUUCAACGAAGCCGAUCGUCAAUUUGGAAGUUCUAUCAUCGAAAAUAAAUCGGUAGUAAAACGGUUCAUUUACUACCGAUAGUAUUCUAGCUCAACUCUCUCUAUAUAUAUAGAGAGAGAGAGAGUUGAGCUGGAAUGCUAUCGGUAGCAAACGGGCUUCAUUGUCACCCAUUUGUUUUCGACGAUGGAGCCUUCAAAUCGACGAUCGGCACCGUUGAAUAUGAUCUAUAUCACUUGAAGUAUCUAGAAAUCAAUUUUCAAAUUUUUUCGACAUCAUUGACCUAAUGAUCAAACGGUUUCAAAUUUUGUAAUUUUAAUAGUCGAUAUGAGGCGUUUUCUCGUUUAACGGUGUAAAGCUAUCCAAAUCAAUUAAAUUUUUGUUAAAAAAUUCUUUAAACUAUUUAGAACAAGAUCUAUACUCUCGAUCUUGAUUACAAAAGCCCUAUCAUCACUUUUUACAGGGUAUUCAUUUUAAGCCGUUCAUUUUGAUGCCCACUUGAUGACCAAGAGAACAAUAUCGAAAAAGGAUGAAAUUUGAUUUCUAUAUACUUCAAGUGGUAUAGAUCAUUUUCAACAGUACCGAUCGUCGAUUUGGAGGCUCCAUCAUCGAAAACAAAUGGGUGGCAACGGAUAUAUAUAUAUAUAUAUAUCUCUCUCUCUCUCUCUCUCUCUCUCUCUCUCUCAUCCGCGUCUCUCUCUCUCUUAUAUAUAUAUAUAUAUAUAUAUAUAUAGAGAGAGAGAGAGAGAGAGAGAAGAGAGAGAGUAGAGAGAGAGAGAAUUUAUCUGGAAUACUAUUAAUAGUAAAACGCUCUUUUUGCAUCAAGUUUUUAAUCCUUGGAUGAAAAUUGUAGGGUUAGGAUGAUAUUAGUCAGUUAGAGUUGAGUGGUCCUUUGCUAUCAAGUUUUUAACCCUUGGAUGAAAAAUUGUAGGGUUAGGAUGAUAUUAGUCAGUUAGAGUUGAGUAGUCCCCCUAGGGUUGAGUGGUCCCCACAGGAUUAUAGUAUUUAAUCCAAUGGUUAGAAAUGAUGAAAAGAAUUGAUCCAAAGGCUAAAAAACUGGUAGCAACAAUGAAAUUUUGCUACUAUUAGUAGCCCAGUCCAACUCAACUGACUAAUAUCAUUCUAACCCUACAAUUUUUCAUCCAAGGGUUAAAAACUUGAUAGCAAAAAGAGCGUUUUACUAUUAAUAGUAUUCCAGCCUAAUUCUAUAUAUACAUAUAUAUACAUAUAUAUAUACAUAUAUAUACAUAUAUAUAUAUACAUAUAUAUACAUAUAUAUAUAUACAUAUAUAUAUAUAUAGAACUAGACUACUAUGCUAUUAAUAGCACCAAGUCAUUGGUGCUAUCAACUUUUUGGCCAUUGGAUUAAAAGAUGUAUGGUUAGGAUGAUGUGGGCCCCCUAUGGUUGAGUGGGUAGCUGGUUGAAUAGUAUGAUCUAACGGUUAAAAAUGAUCAAAAGGAUGGAUCUAACGGCGGAAAACUUGGUAGCACCAAGUGCUUCGUGCUAUUAAUUAAUAGCAUAGUAGCCGGACUCUAUAUAUAUA
rnacentral:lncRNA from 1 species